rnacentral:lncRNA from 1 species
UGUGUUUUGUGUUCACAUAACAUAAAACUCAAAUAUAGAGCGUAGUUGUCCAUAACUUUGAGCAUAGUUGUCUGAAGGCAGCUUGUCCAACCUUUCGUCCCAAAAAACUUCAUUUUGGACCCCAAAUUGGAUUACACAAUGUUUUUAUUAAAGUUUCAUUGUUUUGAAGUUUGGAACUACCACUUUGAAGUUCCUCUAUGGUUCUAAAUUUUGCAUCUUUCUUUCUUUUAUAUGUAGUAACAAUACAAGAACAUAAAUAAUUAUGUUUGACGGCACCCAUAUGUAGCUACGUCCAAGUUUCAUUGUAACUACGUCGUAGAUACUUGAUUUGAAUUACUAAUUGCUUUUCUAUCAUUAUUUUUCAGGGCCAAAGCAAUGAGUUUUAUGUCAUCUUUAACUUAGAAGACUACAAAAGUAUGUUUUGUUUAGAUCAUGGAGUUCAUUUCUAUGACCUUGAUAACAAAGAUUUUAAACCUCUUCUCUUUCUUUUGUGGAUUAUUUAAUGAGCGUACACAUUUCUUAUUAGCAAUGACUAUGCAUUUUAUUUCACAUGUACGAUGUUACAAAUUAAGUGUUUGGAAACAAGUGAAGAUGUAGCCAUAAAAAGAGUAUUAUGCAGGGUAAGCCAUAUAUAUACAUUCCAUUUAAUAAUGGAAUAUAUAUAUUUUUUAAAAAAGAGGAUCUCCCGAUGCACAACACGAUGCGUCAGGAGAUCAUGGGAAACUCUCGAUGUCAUCCAUACGUCGGGAGUUCUCCUCGAUCUCUUGACGCAUAAUGUUGUGCGUUGGGAGAUUCUCUCUCGACACAUUUUUUCAACCUCGAUUUCAACAGGCUUUUAUGUGUCAGGAGAUCUUUUUCCAACACAUUUUCGUGUAACGCGUUUGUGCGUUGGGAGAUCACCAUUUUCUUGUAUUGCAAGACGCUCAAGGGAAGUCUAGAGCUUGACCGCUACUUGGGGAGGUGUGAGACCUGUGUUGGGACAGAAUAUUGAUCUCAAAAUCAAUCUUUUUAACUUUUUUUUUUUUAAUUAGAAGACUCGUCAUUUUUUAUAUAUAUAUAUAUAAAUGUCAAAAUCAACCCUAUUUAUGUAAAAAGUUUCAAAACUAGCAUAUUUAGGUAAUAAGUUUUCAAAACAGUAUCAUUUUGGUAAUCAUUCAAAUUAUCACUAAUUAGCCAUCAAAUCAUUUUAGCUUACAUGUUUUCUCCUCUAAUCCCAAUAUUUUGACCUAGUGUUUGAUAUUUUUUCAACAUUUCAAUCCACAUUUUCGAAACAUUGAAAAUUUGAGGUUUACAAUGAAAUGAGGAGAAAAAUAAAAUUUGCUCUCAUUCAGUCUACCAACCUUGUUGAUACGUUGAAAUUAUUGUGAUAUUUCAAUAAUGUAUCGCUUGAAAUUUAACGUCAUCAUAUGAAAUAGUGUGGUAGGAAUUAAUGACAAACAAAAAUUUGAUCACCACAGUUUUUACUUUAAAAUAGUUUUGAAAUUCUACAGGAUUUAUACUUUAAAAUAGUUUUGAAAUGAUUAUGAAAGUUGAAGGGUAAUACUGCAAAAAAGUAUGUUUGAAACCAAUUAAAAAGUUUAAUGGUGUUUGAUAAAUUUAAUUGGUAUUUUAUUGAUAUUUCUUAAAAUUGAUACCAUAUAUAGCCUUUUUCUCUUUGACAUUGACAUUUUCCUUAAGAUUGGACUUUUAAAAUUUUUGCUUAAUACUAUAUGAAAAUCCAACAACAAAAUGGAAAAUAAAUAUUGUUUUUAUCAUUUAAAAUAUAGGUCAGGAUGGCCGAGUGGUCUAAGGCGCCAAACUCAAGUUCUGGUCCUCUAACGAGGGCGUGGGUUCAAAUCCCACUUCUGACACUGACUAUAUGAAAAUAAUGUAGGGGUAAAAAAUAGGUAUAUAAACAUUCUCCCUAUGCAACACCAUCUUUUCUAAAAUAUUUACGACACCAAUGAAAAGUUCAUAAAGUCGGUAAGAUAUUUUCAUAAAAUAUCACAUUUAUAUGAUCUAAACGAUUGCUUACCAUAGUGUCUCUACUGUUCAAGACUUAUGAAACAACUUAUGAUAUUUUUAUUAAAAUCAUAAUAAUUAAAGUUAUUAAGAUAAAACUAAUAAUAUAAUCAAUAACGUUUUAUUAAAAUCAUAAUAACAACAAUUCAUGCAACAAUGACAUGCAAACUUAACAGUUUCUUAAUAAGGCCACACAGUACCAACCCAAGCCAAUCUUGUUUGGAAAACUAUUUGAAGUCCUCAAAAUCUCCUAUUUUAAUAAUCCAUAAACUCAUGCCUACACCAAUGGGUAUUUCAAAAACUUUAAAGGAAACACAAUAAACUUAUCCAAAACAUUAAGGAUGGAUAACUUCUGCAAGUUCAUGUUAAAACUAAAUGGGCAUUCAGCAACUGUAACAACGCUCAAUAAAAUUACCUACAACCCUACCAAUAGCUUAUCAAAAUCGUAACUUUGUGGAAUAGUCCACUAACGAUCUCCCAACUUCAAAAUCUAGGAUCCACCACCCCAUGAGUUAUUCAAUAUUAUUACCAAAAUUCAAUGGGUACUCAAGACCUAGUCAAGAAAGCUUAGAUUCUUACCUAAUUUGUGCCAAAAACGGCUUAAAAUCACUCUUCGUCAGCUCAUCAACAAUUAAUUUCUUCCAAAAACUUGUAUUUAACAUGAAAUGCAAUUAAUGGCUGAGAAUCGUUAAAUUCAAGCCUAGACUUAACAUGUAUUCAAAAAAUCACUUCAAGAACAACCAUAAAUAACAUUCAUCCAGCACAAUUAAUCCUUACUUGAAUCCAUGAUCCGACGAACAGUAGUGUUGACAGCCACGAAUGAGACAAAGGCGUGCAGGCCGAAAGCUGAAAGGUUUGAUAUUCUCAAAAACCUCUAUAGCUAUUUGUAUGUCGUCCAAAUUAAAAAUGAGCUUUGCUUUGAUUUGAUCAUAUAUUACAUAUAUAACCCUUAUUUCAUAUAUUUCAUCUUCUUCGCAUAAACCUCCAUAGAUAUGAUGUGGAAUCAUGAACCAAUAGUUGUUUACAUUUUAGAUUUGAUGUGGAAAACAAGGCCUUUGUUUCAGAUCUAGUUUGAAAUAAGAUUUUCAUUCUAUACAUUUGAAAUUGAAAUUGCAUUUCAGGCUUAAAACAAAAGUAAAAAAAAAAGGAAUAAAGUAGUUAGUAGGGUUGUCCAAAAGGAAGACCACAACGCUGAAAUUUGGCCGAAGAAGAAGAUGAUUGAGAAAUAAUUAUUUUGGCCAUUGGGAAAGAAGACAAAAGGGAGAGAAGAAGAAUAUAUAUGCUAUACCAUACGAAAAUAAGAUAAUAUACAUUUGGUUUAAAUCCUACUUGUGUCUCUAAAUUUUGUAUAUUGUUCUACUUUGACCAUUAAACUUUUAAUAACAACAAUUUUAGACUCUGAACAAGGGAAGGAGAAGUAUCUUCUUCGGUGGAUCCCUCUUGUUCCUGUUUAGUCCCCUUCGUUUCGGAAGUGGUUUCUAUUUCUACAUCUGUUUCUUCCUCGCUUUCCUCCGUUUCCGCCGUUUCUGAGGUUUUUGAGGUUUCUUUCAGUGGAAUGGGUGACGGUAUUCUGCCUAAAUAGUAGACCCAGGUAAUAAAUAAGAUAAUACUAAAGAUUGGAGCUAUAGAAUUUCUCAAUUCUGACACAAGGUACUUAUUAGAUCUAAUGUACUUCUUAGAUAUAAUAGAAUUAUUUUGCUGUAUCCAGACUAAUAUCAAUCCAACCGAUUUCAUGAAUAAAAUGUGACAAUUUUAGACUCUGAACUUUUAAAAUAUGUUGGGAUUUAUGUUAUAAAACUCGUAGAUUGUAAAUAUAAUUCAUUGACCAUUAUUAAUAAAAUAUUAUUAUUAUAAUAAAUGUAAUUGAUUAUAUUAUUAGUUUUAUUAAUUUUAAUAAUCCAAAUCCAAUAAACUAAAAUCUUAAGCUGUUUGUUGAAUUUUGAACAAUAUGUAGAGACAUAUAAUGAUCAUUGUUCGAGAUCAAUUUUUGAUACCUUAUUCUGGUAACACUAUAGAUACGACCUACUUUAUAUUUGAUACAAACGUAAUGAUCUAACGCGUUCGUGUAGUUGACAUGCAAGUGAAGGUAUUUUGUGCAAUUAGUUUGCAUAAGACUAGACCAGAAAAUAGUAACCACUAGAUCUAACUCUAUUAACUAGUUAGGUUUCUAUUUCAUUAGGAUGACCUAUGGUAACUUAGUCUUAAUCUUGAGUAUAUUAUGAACUCUUGUUUGCGAGGAAUUUUUCUUUGAUUUGUACGAGUGAGAGUGGUCAGAUCGUUGACUCAAUAUGCUUAUCAGUUUAGGGACAAGACCGAAUGGAGAGCUAGGAACAUAAAUAUGAGUGUUCCCUUAUUUCCUACUUUAGGGUAAAUAGAUGAGUGUUCCUUUAAAUGAUGUUUUCGAGACUUGAACAAAAGGUCCUACUCUCUCAAUGGCACAAGAGGGCUUUCUAUUUAUUGGUUGGACCAUAAACAUGUUGUUCAUUAGAAGAGCACUAAUAUUUAUUAGACGUAACCCAGUGGUAAAAUGAGAAUUUGAUCCAAGUGGUAUUACAAACACUUGUGAAAGUUUACUGUUAUUGAUCUAUAUCCGUGGACACAAAAAUAUAUCUACAGUGAGAAGAGUUCAAAUGUGAGUCUUUAGUAGAGUGUACACACAAUUAACGAAUAUUGAUUAAUUAUGAAUUUAGCCAAUUAAUUUCAUAUCGUUGUAGCUUCUAAUUUGUAGGUCCAUUAGGUCCCUUUCCUAGCUCGUAAAGGUUAAUGAGAUUUAUUUAUAAUUGUUGCAAUUUGAAAUGUUCAAAUUUACUUUGAGAAUCACCAUACAUUAUAAUAUAAAAUAUAUUUUAAUUAAACUUUGUUAUAUAAAUUUAAUUUUGGAUAUGAUUCAAAAUUAAUUUAUGAGAGAUAAAAUAUUUGAAUGAAUUAAAUUAUUAAUUUAGUGUGAAUUGGAUUCAUAUUAAAAUUAUUGGUUAUAAGAGAAAUUUAUAUUUGAAUAUGAUUCAAACUUAAUUUAAGUUAAAUAUAAAAUAUUUAAUUUAGCUAUUAAUUAGUUGGAGAAUGAAUGAAUAGUUUUAUUUUAUUUUAUUUUAUUAAAUUAAUUUAAAACUAUAAGACAUUGGAGAAAUAUUCAUUAAAUAUGAUUUAAAUGAAAUAUAAUUAAUUAAUUAACUGUUAAUUAAUCGGUAGAUUUGAAAUUUUUAUUAAUUUAAUAUUUUUUAAAUGAAUAGAAUUUCAUGAUUCUCUCUUACUCCCUUUCCUACCCGAUCAAGGAGUACUCCAUAAAGGAACGAAAAAGUUAUAAAUAAGUAGAAGAAAACAAUUUUCUUCAAUGAAUUAAUCAAGAAUAAAGCCAAUGCUUUCUGCAAAAUAUUUUCUUUCUAAACUUUUUUUCAUCCCAAUUGAUUCCCACAAACCAAUCAAAUCUCAGACGAUAGUAAGGUUUUCGAUGAGUGGUGUCCCAAUUUGAAGGUUUUGUAGAUUCAGAGGCGUCAAACUAAGUUUUUCUCUCUAAUCUAUAGUUAGAAAGCAUGCUUAUGCUUUAAGUUAUAAUAAGAAAAUUCGUUUGUAUAUUAUUUUGCCAAUGUAUUGGUAUUUUAGGAUUUCUAAAUUAUUUAAGUUAUAAUAAGAAAAUUAGUUUCUAUAUUAUUUUACCAAUGUAUUGAUAUUUUGGAAUACUCAAAUUAAAUUAAGGAAUGAUUUUGUAAAAUCUUCUGUUGCUAAGGGCUUUUAUCCCUUUAAAAAAAAGCUUACUUUGGUACUUGUCUGAACAAUCAAUUUAAAGUCUAAUAUUGAAACUAUCUCCUCAUUCUAUUAAAGAGUUAACGAAUUUUGACGAAAGGUACCAAAAGUAAACUAUUUCUAAAAGUUUAAAGACUAAGACAGACGUUUUAAAAAAUUUAGAAACUAAUAUAGAAUAAGAUACAAAGUUCAUGGAUCAAAAAAGUAUUUAAACAUAUAUAUUUUAUUUACCAAAUGAUAUUUUUACAUGUUGACAUUUCCCAUCAUCAACUAAUUGUCACUUCAAUUAUUUGUUUUGUCAAUUAAUUUCCCAAGAGUCAAGUAUUAAUUUUAAAACUAGGUAUCAAAUAAAAACUUAUUCGAAACUCAAAUACAAAAGUUUAAUUGGCCAAAAAGAAAAGUAAAAAAUUAAAAAUAUAUGUUGUAGACUAAACCUAUCAAAGUCCAAUCAAUAUAAAAACAUGUUCAUUUCAAGAGUUGAGGAUAAAAUAAUAGUCACCAACUUUCAAGAAUUUGUGUUCCCACUAAAGUAGCCUUCAAAUCAAUAUUAGCCAUCAAAUCAUAUUACUCUACCUCAUCUCUUCUAUGGGGUUUGUUAUUUUUUCAACAUUUCAAUGCACGUUUCUUAAAAAAAUUUGAGGUUUUCCAUAAAACGAGGUGAAAAAUAAAAUUCGCUCUCAUUCACGUUGAAAUCUUGAGUGAUCACCACAUGACAAACAAAAUUUUGAACACCACAUUGUUUUAGGACGUCGUCAUACAUUUUUAAGUUUAAAUUUUUGUUCGAAAUUUUAAAGGAAUUAUAGUUCGAAGUAGUUUUAAAAUUAUUUAUGAAAGUUAAAGGUAUGUUUGAAACAAAUUAAAAAGUUUAAUGGUGUUUGAUAAAUUUAGCUGGUAUUUUAUUAAUAUUUCUUAAAAUCCUUAACAUUGGACUUUUAAGAUUUUUGCUUAAUACUAUAUGAAAAUCCAACAACAAAAUGCAAAAGAAAUAUUGUUUUUAUCAUUUAGAAUAGAAGUCAGGAUGGCCGAGUGGUCUAAGGCGCCAGACUCAAGUUCUGGUCCUCUAACGAGGGCGUGGGUUCAAAUCCCACUUCUGACAUAGAAAAAUUAUUUAUGUUAGUUUUCAAGUUUUGUUUAAACUUGUUAUAACUACGUUUUCAUUUAUGCUGAAACAAUGUGUUUACUCAUGACCAUGAUUUUAAGAAUGUGUAUGGUUUGAAUUUUUAUAAAAAUGUUACUCUAAAAGUAUGUGUUAAUGACUAAGGAUUGAAAACUACUUUAUGAAAUGUGUUUCUGACCAUGUUUGACUUUUAAACAUGAAAUAUGUGAUUUUUAUGGAAGAAAGUUGGUGAGUUUCCUAAAGGCUAUGUGAACGUCUUUCCGUAGUAUCACGUAUGGUUGUCAGGGGAUUCUAAAGAUGAAAGAGGUCGUGACCCUGAUCGAAGAACUUGAGCCUAGGUGAGGAUAUGGAUGGAGGAUUGUGAUAUGACAUUCGACCUAGCUUAACCCACGGUGGGUGACUCUGUGUGCACAUAGAAGCGGAUCUUGAGGUUGUUAUUGUAGUAAGUGCUAAGCAUGUGUGAGCUCAGUUUGGCCGCAUGUUUCCUUGUGAAUAUGAAUCACAUGUGAGCUAUUCUCAACCGUGUAUUUAGUAUUCUAUCAUGGUUGAAUUGAAUGGAGGUUGCUACUAUGAUAGGUGCUAAGUAUGCAUGAGCUCAGUCUGCUACGUGUUUCCUUAUGGAUAUAGAUCACGUGUGAGCUAUUCUCCGCCGUGUAUUUAGUAUCCUAUCAUGGUUGGAUUGGAUGGAGGUUGCUACUCUAUGGUAGGUGCUAAGUAUGCAUGAGCUAAGUUUGGUUGUGUUUUUCCUUUGUGGAUAUGGAUCAUGUGUGAACUAUUCUCGACCAUGUAUUUAGUAUUCUAUCAUAGUUGGAUUGGAUGGAGGCUACUAUUGUAGUAGGUACUAGACAUGUGUGAGCUCAGUUUCGUCGAAUCAUGUGCAAGCUAUUAUUGAUCGUAUAUUUAGGCGCUUUUCUAUAAUUGACCCUUAUCUGGUACAGGUUUGUUGGCAAUACUUGGGAUUUAUAUUAGUAAUAUGUAAAGAUAACGUUUUAAAUUAUUAUUUCAUCAUCGUUGCAUUUCUUAAACAUUAUUGAGAGCAUGUUUUACGAGUUUUUACUUUUAAAAAACUAGCCACUUACUGAGUUUUAGCUCUAGAUUUAAAUGUUUUCUUUCCCCUUAGGUAGCGGUCAAGGACAAAGCACUGGUUGAGUUCCCUGUCAUUAAUUGUAGACUUUCACUUUUUGUAUAUAUGUACAUACUUAAGUUUUGUAUUGCCAAUACGAAGUGGUUAGAAGUAGCGAGUGUCAUGCUAUGGACAUGUAUAAUUAUUUUGUAGCUAAGAUCUAGUUUGGAUAUAAACUUUGUUUGGAGCUCUGAAAUAGUUUCGAUGAGUGUGUGGUGAGACACACUCGAGGGAAUUUUGUGUCUGAAAAUCUCAAUAUGUAUAGAAGUGUAAUUUUCACAUCUUUUCAAGUUUGACUAACCAUAUAUUAAAAAAAAAUGUUGUCGAAAUUUCUGAGAAUUUUAUAAUACUUGUUCUAUAGAAGUUUAAUUAGGUUGAAAAAGGUUGUUUUUUUAAUGAAUAGAUUCACACUACGAUCUAGGUUAGAAGGGAAAAUCUUCUUUAUUUAUAACUAAUCCAUUUAAGUUUAAAUACUAUUUAAUCCAUUUUUUCUCAUUUAUAAUUUCAAUACUUAUGAACUUUGUUAAUUUUUUCUCUUUUUAUUUUAAACACACGACUUGUUUUUAAGUUAUGAAUUUGGUACAAUUACAUUAUAAAUUUUCUUUUCUUCCUUUACUCUUGAGUUAGAUAAUUUAUUGUGAUUACAUAAUUAAAAUUUUAAUUUUAUUACCUUCAAUCAACUCUACGUUAGAAUUUAUAUCAAUAUGUGAAAUUAAAAUUUUGAUAUCAAUCUCAAUAUCAACCUCAUCUUAUUUUGUUAAUUAGAUUAAAUAUCAAAGGAAUGUCAAUUAAUAAAAAAAAAGGUAAAAUUUUAACAAACUAUUAUAAAUUGAUUACAACAAUUAGCAAACAAUAAGGACUAUUUGAUUAAAUUAAAAAUUAAUGGGUGUUGUAAUUUCAACAAACCUAUUAUAGGUCGUUUUGUAUAUAUUUUUUCACUUUCAUAAUUUUAUUUUAGUUAUUAAAUUAAGUUUGGUUAAAUUAACCUAACAAAUCUUUUGUUAUAGAGAAAGUAGGAUGAUGGGUUUUGGGCAAUAAUUGUCGCAGAAUGAUUAAAAAAAAUAUUUUAAAAGUAUAUAAAUCAUGGUUAAAAAUAAUAAAAAUUAAAGUUAAUAUUUGAGAAGUAGACUAAAAUAAAUUGAAGCGAAACCUAAAACUAGAUUAACUGUAAUUUUGCACUAGAAAACAAAAUUAGAAUUGGUAAGAGCCUUGAUUAUUAUUUUUUGUUUAUAGUACUUCGUAUUUUCAAUUGUUAUUUGCACUUAUUUAUAUGUUGAUGGGUUCCGUGUCAGAUUCAUACAAGAAAAUUUAUUCGCAUGUAACAAUUACUUAAAAAUGGUUGAAAAUGAAUGUCAUAUUUAAAGAAAUUAAGGCAAAAUCUUUUACGAAAACUAGAAGAAUUUGGUAAAUUAAAUAUACAUAAUUUAUGUAUUGGAUUUAGAAUAUAUUUUUUUAAUAAAAAAAAGUUAUUCUCAUGUAACGAUUACUUAAAGAAUUUAAAGAAAUUAAGGCAAAUUAUUUUACAAAAUCUAGGAUGAUUUGAUAAAUUAAAUAUACGAAAUUUGUGUAUUGAAUUUCUAAAAAGAAAUUCAAAACACUAUCUACCUAACCCUUUUCCCAAAUACAUAUUAUCAUAACCCUAAACCCCCAUAACCCAAACUCUUCCUCCAAACGCUUCCUAAAAAAUUUUUAUUCGAAAAGUCACAUACUCACAACCACCAGACAAAGAGUAAUGUUAGAACUUAUGAAAUAUGUAAAGAUAAAAGGGACCUGUAAUAAACCUCUUUUAAUAUAAUAUAGUCGAGAUAGAGAUAAAAUAAAAGAUAAUUGAGUUUGGCUCUAGGGGUUACGUUGUAUGUCACUCAUUUCUCCUAUCAUGGUAUUAGUACUUGAAAACUAAAAAAUAUAGUUAACUUUUGUUUUUGUUUUAAAAUUUUGGGUAAGAUUUGAAAUAUUUUACUUAAAUGAGAACCAUAGUAAAUAAAUUGUAAAAGAAGAAAACCCAUAAAUUUCAAAAGUAGAAAACAAAAAGUAAGACCUACAUUUGAAAUAUGCACAAAGAGAGUUGAAGUUCUUACAUUUUUUUUAAAUUUAAAUUUAGAAUUCAAUAAGAAUUAAGAGUUAAGGAGUCUUCUAACUCUAGAAAGAACUCUCUCUAAAUCUUAUGGAGUCAAAAGUUUUCCACCAUCGGUUGAAUGCCUACACUUAAUUUGAGGAAGCGUGAUGUUCUUGAAGUUGGAGUCUUGAAAGAAAGCACACUUUAGGAGUCAGAGAAGUUAGGAAGUCUUCUAGCUCUUGGGAGAAUUUUCCUUAGACAUUCUGGAGAAAAAAGUUUUCCACAUUACAAAUGAGAACUUCUCUAUUUAAAGAGUUCUCUGGUGAACUUUAUGCGUUUGACUCUUUUAGUCUAUAGACCAGACUUAUGGACUCAACUCCAUGAAUUUGGAUUAUAUUUAGCUUUUGGACUAAAUUAAGUUUAUUUAUUUUUUUGGCUCAAAUGAACUUAACCGAGUAAAUAAUAUUUAAUUUCACCAAAAUAAUUAACUUGAUCAAACGAUUAUGAUGAAAACAUGUGAAAUUAUCAGAAUUGACCAAUUUACGUCUUCAAUUUUAAUUUGGGACAUAUGUCAAAAUUUUUAAUUAGUCCCAAAUUCAAUUACUUGUAUUUUUCAUUGUUAAUUUAGUAAAUGAUGUGACAAUUUGUGAUUGAUUUUAAAAAAAAUUAUUCAACCACCUUCACAAUAUAAAUAAAAAUCUAUAAAUAUUUUAACUUAAAAAAAAAGACUCGUGGUUAAGUAACAAUUUAGUCCUUGUACUUUUAUAUUUAUAGCAAUUUAGUUGUUAAACUUUGAUAAAUAAUGACAUAAUUUAUUUACUUUAUAAUUGACAACAAUUUAGCCUUUAUUAGUAAAAUAUCAUUAAUAUCUUACAAAUUCUCUUACCUAUAUGGAUGAAUAAACUGAUAGAAAAGCAAAUUUAUUUACAAAUUAUAAACACUAAAAUAUUAUGGAAUUUUUUUAAAAUAGUAAAAUAAAUUAAAAUAUUUACCAACUAUAACAAAAUUUUGGAUUUUAUAGUAGAAACGGAUAGACUUCUAUCACUAGAAGCAUAUCUGCGGUUAUCAAUAUUUAUUAUCGAUAAAAUCUAAAACUUUUUCUAUAUGUUGUAAAUAUCGUGUCAAAUUCAUUAUUUUUGACCAUUUGUUAGAGAGAUUGAUAUUUACUUUUAAUGAAAAAAUUAACCAUAUAAUCAAAUAUUAGUAAUAAAUUUUAAUGUAUAAUCACUAAAUUGUUAUUUAUUACACUUCCAUCUCUAUGAAGAAAAGAAUGUAGUGUGCAACUAUUGGGCUUGCUAAGUGUUUUUGUGAGGUCUCUUUUAGUUUAGUUAUUAUAAUUGUUCAUAUAAUUUUGUUGCCCAUUCUCGAGCACGUGUUGUUGUGAAUCUUUUUGAUCCCCGUGAUCCUUCCUUCCAAGAGAAAGGUCACGUGGAAGGAAGGUCAUGAUUCAGCUAUAUGACACUAAAGUUGAGCGAGAGCGACACUAAUUUUUAUGUGUGUCAGAAAGAGUAAUAAUUUGUAAAUGAGAAAAAGAAGAUUCAGCCAGACAUGGAAGAUUUUGGUAAAGAGGCAUGUAAAACACAUUCUUGAAAUGAUAGAAUUUGUAUAGAGUCUGGAUUCCAUGGAAAUUUUAAGGGAAAGAAAAAACUUGAAAUUCCUCUUAUAUUCUGUUCUGAACAAUAUAAGAAAACUGGCAUAACAUGUUGAAGGAUGAAGCAAGAAACCCUCCUAAAUUACAAACAGUUUCGUUCUGCUAUGUUUAGAUGAACAUUAGAUUAAGAUGCGACAAAAUGAAGAAUCCUAGCAAAAUCUUCACAAUCAUCUCUGUUCCUCCAAUCCAUCUCUUCCCCAUUCCACCGUCGCUUUUCUCGUUUGCAACGGACGAACUCCCAUGAACUGUACAUAAAAAUUUACUCACACUAAGGUAAUAAUGAAUGAUACGUUCUUUUAAAUUUAAGUUAGAUAGAGUUUAUAAAUUUGGUUUUUACCUUUAGUGUCUGGAGAACUGCUGGGUUCACUGGUGGGAUUAGAUUCUUUGAAUAUCUUUGCUUCUGUUGAAUUUGGUGAUAAGUGUAAAAGAGCUGAAAAACCAUAUCCAGAACACAACGUUAGAUGCCCAGAAGCUAAGGUAUUUGACAAAACGCUUUAAAUCCAAGAAAUUUGUGUAAACGGAACGGAAGCACUCAAUGCCCAAUUGAGAAAUACAAGUGAAUGGCCAUCAAACUUGUGUACAUAUAAAUGUUUGAGAAAAAUGCCCAAGUGAAAAGUAUGUUUUAGAAAAUUCCAUGAGUUGCAUUCUUUCUUGGAUGAACAUGUCUGUUAAAUUAUUAACCAACGUCAAGAAGAGACACGACUGUUCGGACAAUGAUAAAUUAAUCUAUAAAUAGUCUCUUCUUCAAAUUGGAACUACUGGUACUUCUCUCCUAUCAUCUAUGAAAACCAAGGAUGUGUUGCUUCCAUAAGAAAUGUAUUUGUUCUACUUAAGAGAUCACAACUACUCUUCAAACUAAGGAGACAACAUGAAUUCAUUAAGCUCCAAUUUUUUGUAGUAUACCAAGAGUCUAUGAGAUAUCAUUGAUAUAACAAAACAGAGAGAGAGAGAGAAAAAAAGGCAAGGGAUUAGUUUGCUUACAGAUGCACUCGGUGAUGUUGGCUGGGGCAUGGCAGGCAUGAGGGAGGGCCAAAGCAAGGGAGCCAUUGAUUUUAAGGCCAAGAUUAGGGUCAUCUUUGUCUUUAAUAAGAACACAUAGACACUUCUUGCUCUUCUGCACCACCUGUUUCAAUCCACUGCAGCAAUCAAUGGUUGGUGUCUUGGCAUCACCGCUGACAUACGGCAAGCACUGUGCGAGGCCGAUGAGUUGGUCGGAGCAGUCUGUUCUAUCUUGGUCUAUGUCUGAGGCAGAAAAAGAAGCUAGAAGGAGAAGAAAGUUGCAGAUGAAAGAGAAAGUUGAUAAAGCAGAAGCCAUGGAAAUGGUGAAGAGAAAAAGAGAGGAAGAUGGGAUGAUUUGGUGUGUUAUGUGAUUUUGAGUGAGACUUUAACACUGAACUUGAAGGUGAAGAAAGAAGCGGAGAAACAAAGGUGUUGAAAAGAGAGGGAAUGGGUUGAUGGUAAAUGAUUCUUUGCAUUUAUCAAUUUGCCAUUUUUUGUCAUGUGAAAGGAUAGUGUGUCUUCUUAUGAAAGGAUGGGGUGUCUUUGUGUGUGUGUGUUUUUUUUGUUUGUCGUCAUCUUUGUCGAGAUGUUUUAAGAGAGCUAAAAUUUAAUCGUUAAAGUUUGAUAUAAAAUCUUAUAAAUAAUGUCUAUAUGGUCUUAUAAAAUCUUCACUCUACCUUAUAAACUAUUUAUGACUAAAAUUUAACUUUCUCUAGAUCAUAGAGACCAAUAAAUUUAACAUUAAUUUAGUUCAUAUAGUUUAACAAAGCUAUAGAGACUAAAGUCUAACUUUUAAAAUCAUAGGAACUAAAUUCUAACUUUUUUCCAACCAUAAAUCAUAAGACUAUAAUAAGAGAAGAUGUUCAUGGACAUUUUGAUUAUAUCAUAAAAAAAAAACCAAAAGGUAAAGGUAAAGGUAAAGAAAAAGGAAAAGUAAAAGAAAGGGUUGUGAGAGUUUGUUGGGGGGUUUUGUUGUUUAGGGGUAUUUUGUUUAAUUUGGAUUGUUUUGUGUUUGGGAAAUCAUAGGAAUUUGUAGCUUUGCAGUGGGAAAUAAGGAAUCUUCCCAUGUGUAAAUUCUUUUUAAUAUCAAUUUCCUUUUAUGUCUUUUACUUUUUCACAUAGAAAAAAAAAUUAUAUUUUCAUUUAUUCUUAACCAAAAAUAUAACAAAGAGAUAAAUACAAAACAAAAUGAAUUUAUCUAAUCUACAUCAUUAAGAACUAAACUUCUUUUCUAUUAUUUAGUUUUUUUUUUUAUUGAUUUAGACAUUAGUUCAUUUUUUUUACGUUAUCUCUCAUCAAAAUUACAUAUUUACAAUUAUUAUCACGUAAAGAUUAAAUAUGUUUUUCUAGAUUAAUAUUUGGCAUGAACGAUCUUCUACUCCAUUUAACUAAUAGACUAAGUUAAAUAAGUUAUACAAGAUAAAAAAACAAUCGUAAGAUUUGACUAAACCAUGAACUUUAAAUUAAAGGAAAAAUCAAUUUAGUUGAGUGAAACUUUUAAAAUCUCAUAGAUCUAAAUUGAAAUUAUCCCAAAUUUAUAAAAACUAUUUUUCCCAAAAGAAAAAGAGUGUUGUAUAUUAUCGGUAUAUUAAAUUCAAGAAAAUGAUAUCCCAACAUAUUGCCUCCAAAAGUAAAAGAUAGAAAAAACAAAAUUACUAUUUUUAAACAUGUGAUAUGAAAAUCAUACAAGUGUUGAAAAUCACAAGUAAUUAUGUAUGAAACGAAAAUGAGGUGGCAAAGUAUGAAAACAAUGAAAAGAAAGGUUAGAUUGAGAACCCUAAAAAGAUAAUAAUAAUAAUUAUUAUCAAUGACGUAUCCAAAAAUCAUAUAUAGGGAUGGAUGAGUUUUGAACCCUUGAGACACAACCAGUAUACCAAAACCAUAAUAUAAUAAAAUAACGUAUUUUUAAGAUAUAUUGUAAUUUGACAUUUCAAAACUAAUAUUAAAAUACAAAGACCGGAAAUGUGAGGGGGCACGUGCCCCUGACUCCUUAAUAAAUCUGCCCAUAAUUAUCUUUUUGGAUCUUUUUUGUCAAGAACCCAUACUCUUCUCACAAAAAAAGAUUCAAAACAUUUUAAGAAAAACAAAAGGAUAAUUUCCAAAACAAAAAACAAAAUAGUUACUUUACCUAAUCUUUACCUUUACAAUCCAAACAACCCCUUAUCUAGUUACAUUUUUUUGGUGAUUGAAACACUUCAUUGAAUUGAUUGAAUUCUAAUUUUGAUUAAUAAUUAAAAUACGAAGUUGUCAAUUGUUAUCUUAAUGUAAAAAUUUUACAUAAUGAUUGGACAACUUGAAUUUUGAACCUUGUAAAAUGUAUAGAACAAAACAUUGAAAUUAAUAUAGGAAAGUAAUAUCUAUAAGCUUAAUUUUUCUAAAAUCAAAUGGGACGACAAUUUAAGAAUAUGAUAUUUAAAGUAUGUCACACACUUUUUCCAUUUUGCGUAUAUGAUACCUUUCGGUGUAUAAAAUAUAUAUAAGUAUGUACAUCAAGUGUUUAUCGGAUAUAUCAUAUGUAUCUUUACAUUUUGACAUUUGUUUUGGAAAGCUAACAAGUACGGGAUUUGGGUUGGAUUUAUUAAACUUAUUUUAUCAAAACCACGACAAGUUGUUUUAAAGCUACAAAUAUAGAGUUUUUUUUCUUCUUCUUUUUGUCUUAUUUGAUUUUGUUUGAUUAUGAGUAGUAGCAUCAAUUUCAACACACACAUAUUUGUAUACAUCCAUAAAGUUGGUAUAGAAUGCUUUUUAAGAACCCGUGAUCUAAUUAGGCAAACACUCUUCUUGGAUCUAUAAUCUUUUUGGCUAAUCCGUGAUCUCUUAUAGAUAUAAAUUAUAUGUUUUUCAUGUGGGUCCUUAACAAUUUGUAUUUGCUAAUAAGCCACUCUACUUCUUUUUAUUUAUUUCACUUUCUUCCAAUGAGUUUAAUUUUAGUAUUUAAGUUGGUACGUACCAUAUAUAUUUGCAUGUGAUAGUGUCUUCUUAUGUCCUCACAUAAAACUUUAUUCUUAUAUUUUGUUAGAGGCAUGCAUGUUAAAAGAAAACAACUUGGUGGUCGAAAGAACUCGUUCAACUCUCAACUCAAUUUGUAUGUUUUUUGAAAUAGAUUAUCAACUUGUAUGGGUUAGGUCGAGUUCAAACAAUUGAAAACUUUAUAAAUUGGCUCAUUUUAUAUUGAUAUCUACUACCAACUCAAAAUUUUUUAGAAAACAAAUUAUAUACAAAAAAAACUUUUGAAAAACAUGUUAAAAAAUCAUUUUAAGUUAUAAAAUUACUAGUUUCUCUAUCCCUUUUCUAUUUAAUUCUGUAAUUAAUUUGUUGAUAUAGUUCGUUUCAUAAAAUUAAUUGCUACAAUUUACGCUUGAAUUUUUGUUUAUCACUAAUAUAUAAGUCGUUUUGAUGGGAACACAUUUGUAUUAAAUUCUUGUCUAAAUUACUCAUUAGCAAGAAGUUUAUAAAUUUGUUUAAUUGGGUCAGCUUGGUGAAAAGUUUUCAUUAAUUAAAUUUUAAAAGCCCCGAUGCAACACCCCUCUAGAAUUGCCAUACCAGUCCUACAAACACACUAUUGUAGUCGGAUAAUGGAAGAGAUUGUUGAUGAAGGAAUCUAAAGCCAUGCUAAUUCUUAAUUUUGUUUCAAGAUGUUAGUCAUUAUUUAUGUAACAUUGUGAAAAGAUUAUGUUUGCAAAAGAUUCAACCCGAGAGUAAAAGGGCUUCUAGAGCUAGGUGUUGUGUUCAUUAUUUACUUCAAAUAUCAAAGCAUUGUGUUAAGAACAAACACUCAUUUGUAAUGGAUAAGAUGCUUUUCCCUGCAGAGAGAGAAACUAAAUCCAUUUGUGGCACACACCAAUCAGGAUUAUACAAAGCUCCAUGGAUACAAACUUUAAGGAUGCAAUGGAUGAACAUAUAGAAGAGCAAUAAGCUAAGAAGAUCAUCACUCGUUUCCGGAUCCAUUGACGAAGAGGACUCUGGUACAGGGCAUGGAACUCAAGGAGACAAAGAAGGCUCUAUUGCAAAAGUUUCGUUUGUGGAUGGAGUGAGCUUUUUAAUUUACUGAUGAUGAAGUUGAAGUUAAUAGGAGAAAUUUGUCGAUUUCUUUGGAAGCUCAUGGGGCCAUUCCUGGGAUCCAAUCUCAUAUUGUCAAAAGAAGAAAAAAAAGCGAAAAAGAGAAAGAAUGAUAAGAAGAAACCUGGCAUAACUUUUCACAGAGCUGAAGAAAGUUUGAAAAGCAAUUGAAGAUAUAGGAUCGUAUAAAGCACUUGGCCUAGAUGGAUUUAUGAUGGAAGAAAUUAGUUAAAAAGGGGCAGAGCCUUUGCAAGAGAUUCCAUUGGUGCAAAAUUGUUGUGGAGAUUGAGAAGAGAGUUUGUGAGACAAAUUUGGUGCUGUGUGUAAACUAUAAAGCACAAACACUCUUAGCCACCGCGAGAAAAAUGGUCUAUGAUGACAAUUAUUUUCUGUCGCGAACAAAAUUCGUGACAAUUAUUUACAGUCAUAGAAGCGGGAGUCAUGGAAAGUUUUUCUCUGACAAUUUUCGAAAACUGUCGCAAUAAGCUUUUUCAUGACAACGAAUAAAUGUCGUUAAUUACUAUUUGAUGACAACAAAUAACUGUCAUAUUUUAUAUUAUGACAACAAAUAUUUGUCAUAAUUUGCGUAUUAACGACAGUUAAAAAUAUGUCGUAAAUUCAUUUCAUAUGACAUUUUUUAAAUGUCAAGGAUAGAGCAAUUGUGACAAUUUUUUUAAAAAUAAAUGUCAUUGCUUCGCUAUUACCGACAUUUUUUUUCUGUCAAAUAUAGAUCAGUCGUGACCAUUUUUUUUUUUGAAAUUAAAUGUCAUUGUUUUGCUAUUGAUGAUAUUUUUUUCCUGUCAAAUAUAAGACAAUCGUGACAGUUUUUUUUAUAAAAAAAAUGUCAUUGUUUUAGUAUUGACGACAAUUAUGAAAUGUAACGAAUUCAUAUAUUAUGACAUUUAUUUCCUGUUGCAAAUUCCUCAAUUACUACCGUUUUUUCCUGUUCUCUUUGUUGCUCCACCAUUACACGAACCAUUUGAAUGACAAUAAUGUUAUAAUACAUGAGACCCAUAUAGAAACAAAUAAUCGAUACUUUAAUAUAUAUACAUACAUACAUACAUAUAUAUAUAUAUAUAUAUUAUAAUACACUUUGUAAUAUUCGUACAUUUAUAAUCAAGUUUGAACAAUUUACAAGUAUGGAAUUUACAAGGUCUUUAAAGAGACAUACAUGCAAUAUCCUUUAGCACUAGAAUUAUCACUCAAGUAUUUGGUAAAUUUCCUCAAGUCUCCUCCUUCCUCUAAAAUUGUUGCAAUCCUCCAUUUUAAAAGGUAAGCAUAUGCUUCUGCAUCCUGUAGAACAAAUAUAUCAAAUGUUCAAACAUGAAAAAAAUCCAUAGAAGGAAAAUAAAAACAUAUACAAAACUUGUAUGCAGUACACUAUAUCAAACAAUAAAUUAAUUUCCAAGUCAACUUCUUCACCUUUGGUUUGGAAAAAAUAGAAGGUUUAACACGAAUAAAAAAUAAUAGCAAAUGUGGAAUUUAUUCAUGCAUACACUUUAGUUCUUAAAUGUGAACAUAAUCGAUUGCAUUUGUCAAACACUAGCAUAUAUAAAAUGAAUUCACAGUUUCAUGUUGUCGUAUGGAUCUUUGAAUAUCCUAACAGAGUAAUAAGAUAAACUCAAAACAACAACAAAGACAUUUAUGCUAAAGGGGUCUUACAUUGGCUUACUGAUACCAAUCAAAUUCUUGCAUUUGAUAUGGAGAAAGAACUUGGGAUUGCCCUAAUUAAAAAUAACAUAUAUAAUUUGAUAUCUUAUAGAAAGAAUUAUUUGUAAGGUCGAUCACCUUACUAUUUGAUUGAAAUUAAGAGCAGAUACAAAAUUCAACAACACAAGACACAUAAAACAACCUUGCCGAAUGAAGAGGCCCAAUACUCUCCCCUUCCCAACACACGAGUUUGGAAAAAUAAAGCGUACAUACCACCCUCUAACAGACUACUGCCCUCAAAAACCUAUCCCUCACUCCCAUGCCCCAACAUACAACGAUUUCCACUAACUAAUUGCAUGAUGGUCUUUUACUUUGUUAAAUAUCCUAUAAUAAGUAAUCGCCAUGAAAGUCUAGCAAUACCAUAUCGUGACCACUAUUUAGUUCUUUAAAUCAGACAAAAGAUGCAAAUAGACAUGAUUGCCUGGCAUGUAACUCGCAAAUAUCUUAAAGAAUAGAGAAGAUCAAUCUUAAGCACACAAACAAAUACAUCCACAUUGGAAGAAAACCUUAUUUUUAGGGACAAAAAAACAAAUAGAACCGGAGGAGCAACUAUGACAACAAAAAAACAAAGUUUACUAUUUGUAUCAUUAUUUGAAGCUUUAUACCGUGAAUUAAUACUACAAUCAAAAGAACAUACUCAGAAUACAAGAAUUUCAACCUCUGAACUAAAUUCAAAUAGUCUAACAUCGAAACCACAAAAGCGAAAAUAUAUAUAUAUAAAAGCUCAACUAAAAUGAAAACCAAAAACCCGAUAAACUAUUUAAUUCAAACAACUAAAGAAUCUCCAUACAAUAUACCAAUAUGGAUGAAGAAUGAAGCUAACACUCAAAUAUUAAACUACACUCUCUAUCUCUCUCUCCAUUUCUAAUAAUUUUCAGCGGUUUCUCAAGAAAAAUAAGAAGAGUUACCUCUUGAAAUUUCUGAAACAAAAAGGUCGUCGAAGGAAUUAAAGUGUGUAGCUGAGGAUUCAAGUGUUGACAAAUUAAGAGCUGAGGAUUCAAGUUAGGGGAAAUAAAGAACUGAUAUCAAGACAUCCUCAAAUUCACAAAAAAAAAAAAAAAAAAAAGGUCAGAAGUUAAUACUCUCAAUGAUAUAAGAUUGAAAAAAGACAAUAGUGAGAUUAUAGAAAAAUAACUAGAUUGCCAAAAAAUUUGUGACAACAUUUUUGGCCCUUCAUUUCAGUCCCCCCUCCCCUCCCCCUCCCCCUCCCCUCGGAUAUGAAGCAACAAAGUAGAUUUAGAUUCUAAAACUACAAAUAAUUCUUACCUAACAAUUAAACGCAUCCGCAAGGCACAAUUGCAUUCUAAUGAUUCCAAUGCAAAAUAAUUCAAAACCGUCAACGCAUCAAACAUGAAAAAAAAAAAAAAACUUGUUACCUGCUCAAUAAGUGAAGCGGCAUGUGAGGUCGAUGGGCGACCAUAGCCGUGGGUGACGAUAGCCGAUGACAGAUGAUUAUGGAACUACAACCCACACUCACAUCGUCACAUUCCACACAUUAGUUACUAUUUACCAACUCAAAGAAUUGACGAGAAGAUCAAAUGUCAAAACAAAGGUAUCUUACAAUUAAAAAAAAAUGUCAAAGAUAUAUAACCCCAAACUGCAACUUUUCUUCCAAUUGAAAACUUCAUCACAGUCCUACAAUUUUUACAGGCUUUUGAUGUACAUAUUAUUAUCAAUUACGAUGAUAAUUGGAUUAUUAUAUUUAUGUUUUAUGUAGUUUAGGAGCUUUUGUAAUCUCCAAGAACAAUUUAAAGCCAUUAAACAACACAGAGAAGAAAAUAAAUAAACACAUGACAAAAGAAAAUAAAGUUAGGCAUGUUCUUCAUCAAAAUUUAAAUUUAUUGCAUGUGAAUCCAAAAAAUUAAGAGAAAUAAUUUCAGUCCAUAUGAAUCAAAGAUAUUCCUAAGUUUGAUAAGGCUGGUGAUGAAACCUUUCAACCUUAAGGAAGAUAUCAUACUCUUUCAACCUUAAGAGAGAUUAACAAUAAAAAUUAUGGAUUAUUCUCUUCUAUGUAGCCACCCCAUUGUUCUUUAAGAAUCUCUACAAUUGUGACAACAGUAGUGAUUGGUGUAAUAUUACAAAGAAGGAUUUGAGCCAACAAAACCAAAAAUUCAUCAGAUAUAUAUCCAUAAGCGUUAAAAUAAACUACAAGAAACAAAACAAUACCCAUUCCCAAGGCAGAAAGCUCAACUUCAUUAUGAUGUUGAAUGUACCUCUGAAUUUAGGGCAAACAACGAUUAGAAUCCUCAAUAAAAAAAACAACCAAAACAACAUAGAAACUGAAAUUAAUUAAACGAUUCUCCAGGUAGUACAAUUACUCAAAUCAUAAACAAAACGAGAAUCAAUAAAAGUAUAACUUUGAAGUCACUUAAACUAAUAUCAAUAAAAACUCAUAAGAGUAACAAAAACUAAUCCAAUUCUCCUAAAUUACUCAACUUGCCAAAUAUCACCAAAGAAGAUUUUGCACGCAAAUCAAUUCACAAGUAAACAAAAACAAAAAGUUUGUAGACCAUAACUCUUAGAAAGCUCUUAAAUGACAAGAAUUAAAAGGUAGGAAUUGAUAAUUCAGGUAAUGGAAAACAACAAAAGAAUCACACAAACAUUUUAUAGGAAUAAGUUAGACUUAUUGAAUUGGUGAGAUUUUCAUAAGUUGUAGCCAAAUUUGUCCAGUCACGCAAAUAAGAAGCUGCACCAAUUUUGGGUUGGAACGUAAACAUUUAUUAGCAAAUUAAGUUAGCAUGCAUAGUCAAGUAAAACUUUAGGCUGCUUAUAUUCUAGACUAAUACUAACAUUUUUAAAAAAACUAAAUACAACAAGGUAUUGUCGUGAAUAACGAAAUUACAACAAGUCUUGUCACUAACCAAAUAUCAAUCACUUGCUUGGUACGUAGCUGCAUUAUUAUAGUAGAUCGAUCGGUUAUUGGUGUAAAACCUAAUAAAAACACAAUAAUGUUUUAUUUGAGUUUGCCGGAAGAAUAUGAAUUAAAUAAGUUUGUUAGUUGAAUCUUUCUUCUACAUAAUGUGUUGAUUUAUCCCUAGAGUAAGAAAAGUAAAUGAUGAAAGAGAUAAAUUGAAAAAACUUGUAAUUAUAUAGAAAAGAAAUGUGAAUCGUGGAAGUUUAGAAAAAGAGUAUAACAUACAAGGAAGGAAUUUAAUUCUUGGAUGUACCACUAUAGUAUGCAAGAUCACAUUUCUCCAUUUAUAAUUUCCAAAACGAUGUUGAAAAAGAUCUACAAUAGCUUAGUAUAAACCAUCAAUUAAUGUAUAUCUUCCUUUUUACUUUAAUUUGAGUUAUUUGAAUUGAAAUCACAUACCAGAAAAUCAAGAAAAAAUUUAUAAGAAAGCAUGCCAAGUUUAUGCAUAAAAUAGCAGCACAAAGUAUCCUAUGAAAGCCACACUCACCUUAUUCUGCUUUUGUCAAAAUUCCAAACAUUAGUUCGCCAUGUAACAAUAACUUUCUCGUAUUCUUCACAACUUUUUCCUCCAUUUUCUCAUAUUCUUCACAACUUUUUCCUCCAUUUUCUCAUAUUCUUCACAUUAGCUUCCCUGUUAUACCGAGUUACCAGGGAAACUACGAUAUGCUUUAAAAGAAAAAUCAUAAGAUUUACUAUAGUCUAUAGUCCAAAUCCAAUCUAAUUGUAUAUUGGGUUCUCCUCAUUCUCAUCCACGAACAUUCUGAUAUUUCUGUUUAAGUUCCAAGUUUCAAAUUCUUAUAACAUGAAAUGGCUCAUCUAUCAAAACAAACAUUAGAGUUUGACUCCUCUCCAAAAAAUAAAAUCCAUAGUCAUCUUAAGCUUCUACUUGUCUCUGGUUGCUUUGCGAAUUAUCUAACUUUAAUGGUAAAACCAUCUUGCUACUUGUUCUUUGCUUCUAGUAAUAAGUUCCCCAAAUCCAACCAUUGUCAUAAUUUACUAAAGAAACAUGAUAGUUCACUUUAUCACUAAUACUUCAUAUUUGAGUAUGCUGACAUGCGCUAUCCAAUCAACUUUUGGUUUGAUAUUGAGAAAUGGACAACAAUGUCGUUUUUGAAAAUGUGGAUGAUUAAUGUCGGUUUCAAAUCGACAUUAAUGAGAGAGGUUUAAUGUCGUUUUAAAACCGACAUUAAUCAUCCGCAUUUUCAAAAACAAUAUUUAUGUCCAUUUCUCUCUUUAAUUUAUUAACUAUUAUUAUUUUUUAUUAUUUUUAAUUUUACAAAAAGUCAAAAAACAUAUCUCUUAUACUCUUUCUCAAAAUCCCCUUCCUUCACGAUUUUUCUUCAUCUCUCAAAAUCUCACACUACUUUUCUCUCUCUUCUCCAAACACAAACAGUGGCCGCUGCCGCCACCAUAGUGUACCUCGUACCCAGCCCGUGCCCGCCGUGCUAAUCCCUCACCACCACCUUGUCUUUUUCACGAUAUGCUCGUCACCACUAAGUUGAAACCCUCGUCUCUUUCACACUUGCCUCUUCACCAACGUCAGAAUCCUCAUCUCUUUCACGUUAUGCUCGCCACCACCGUUGAUUGUUAACUACUUUGGUUGAUUCUCACAUUUACUUUAUUGCAUCAUUGCAUGUAUAAGAUUGCAACUUUAGUUCUCUAAGAAAAAGAGACUAGUUGGUUCUUGCAAAACCACCAGUCUUGGUUUAGGAAUUACAACAUAUCGGAAGAGAGGUGUUAUAGAUAUAUAUAAAGCUAUUAAAAUAAAGUAAACAAUAUCAAACUAAUGUGAAAAUAUUUGGAUGAUUGUUCUUACACUAAAAAAUUGUGUUAAAAAAACAAAAGUGGAAAAGAAGUGUUAGCUGAAUUUUUUAAAAUAAAAAUUAAGAAAAAACGGUUGUGAAAGGCAUCUUAGUAUAUUUUUUUAAAAAAUAAUUAAAGUUUCCUUCCUUAUAGAUUAACUUACAUGCAUCUACUUUUAUUAAUAUCACAAUUCAAUUAUGGAAGGAAGGCAUUUGAAAUGUUCAUGUUGAAAGAAAGUUCCUAAUAAUUUAUUUACAAAACUAAUAUUUCCUUAAAAGAACAAUAAAUUUCUUUGUUUUUUUUAGUUUUUUACUUUGUUGCAAAGAGAGAUCACACAAACUUGUAUCCCAUGUGCUUCACUAAUUAAAGAACUAAUUUCACAAUUAUUUUUCAUAGCCCUAGGUGCCUUUCUAGUAUGAAAUGAUAGUUAAAGAACAACUUAUUUUUUAUCUUGCUUGAAACUUUAAUUCAAUUAUAAUAUAGAACUAACCGGUCUAUAAGCUAGUUAGCUAAUGCUAUAUAUAUGAUAACUAAUAGGCAACUUGAAUAAUCAUACUCAUAAUUAUAAUAAUAAUAAUAUUGAAAAAUUGAGUUUCCCUAACUCCUUAUGGUGAAGAUAUUUAUCAAUAAAGUAAGUUAAAUCAGUUUUAAGGAUGUUGACAUUAAUAAUUAUGAAAUAUACAACUUUAGAUUAUAUUGUUGUGAAGGAAGGCAUUCCAUUGAAGAGAGAUGAAUAACCAAAAUAAAAGAAGUGAAAUUUUUUAGGAGACACUCGUGUGCGGUGAUUACAUUGGGGUCGGUGCCCACUUUUACCAAAGCCAGUCAUCAAAUAAAGUAAGUUAAAUCAUCUCUUCAUGCAUGUCAUUAAAGAUGUAAAAUAAUAAUCAAUGAAUUGCACUUUGCUUUACACACAGCCUGCUUCAAAUUGAAGCCAUAUAUAUGGUUUAAAGGUUUUGCUCUAUUGCAUAACUAUGCUCUUUUUUCCUUUUCUUUUUUAAUAUUGCAGUUAUUAACACUCCUUCUCAUGCGUAAAUUGGAAUAUAAUAGGAAGUUAAUUUAGUUUCUUUUCAACUGAUCUCUCUUGCAGUUCUUUCUGAUUUCAUGAAUUGUCUGUGAAUAUGGGGAUGUUAGGUUGUGAUUUUCUGUUUGUUCUAUGAAUUAAAAAAAAAGGUUUUUCUUCACUGUCAACUAUGUGUUGUAGUUUGCUUUUUUUUUUUUUUAAAGAAAAAUUGGUGUGAACAUUUGAACAUAUGAAAAACAUUAGUGAAAUUAAAUGUGACAAACUUAUGAAUGGGGUAGUUUGGGAGGUAUAAUUUGGUUGGAGAGAAUUAGAGAAACAGUGGGAAAAAAAAAUCUAAAAAUGGCUAUGUUUGGAGGCCCCCCUCCUACUUCUCUUCUACUCCUAUUUUACAUUUUUCUCCCAAAAAACCACUUGGAUUUUCCCCCAUUUCCUUCCUUAUCACAUCAACAAAAUCACUGUCUUUGCCCUUUACUCGUUCCAAUUCCUAAAUAUUUGUCGUGGAGUAAUAUACAUCAAACGAUUAAAGCAAAACUAAGUAAUAUACAUCUAACACAUACCUAAUUUUAUUGAUAAAGUAUUUACUUUAUGAAACCAUAUGAAAUCAGUAUUUUCCUAAGGGAAAAUGAUAGCUUACUGGUCUGCUUGAUACUAACUACCCAACCAAAGAAAAGAACUAAACAUCCAUGUAGUACAUAUCUAUAGUUAUGUAAAGUUAAGAAAGUCAUAGAUUUAAUGGCUUGGUUUGGUAAGAGUUACAGAAGGAGGAAUGAAAAUCAAAUGGCUGUUUUGAGUUGAUUCCAGCCAGCCCCCAUUUUUAUAUUUUGCACAAAUUUUUUGUUUCAUGCCUUGAUUAUUGCAGAACUUCAGGAUCUAAAAAGAGAAGAAAUGUUGGGAGAGAGGCCAAGGUAACUACAAUUGCCCUAUGUACUCUAUUGUUGUCAGUAGUUUUAUUUUUGAAGGUUGUACUGAUGUCUCUUUAUUUAUAGUGAAAUUGUUUUAGAUUAUCAUCAUUGGCCAGAUGUAAAUAUAAAUUUUCGUAAUUUGACUGAAAUUCUCAUUCAAAGUAUCAUAAUUGGUUUGUUUUGAUAUUGUUUGUAGAAUGAUUGAAGUCAUAUCGGGUUGAAAGCUAAGUGAUCGUGUAGACAACCAGACAAUCGUUAAAGGUUGAAGACUGAGAAGACGUCUAAGAUUUCUUAUUUAAGUCAUGUAUUAGGAUCUUGUACUCUUGUAAAAUAUAUACAUAACACAAUAUUAAGAUUUCAUUUUGUGUAUACACAAGUAAAUGACAAAUAUUGUAGUUUCUAAAUUAAUAUUAAUUUUAUUGAUAUGUUGGCACGAAAAAAAAAUAUUUAUCUACAAUUAAUGUUGGUUUAUAAAAAAAUGGACAAUAAUGCAACAAUUAAAUAAAAAUAAAAUUGCAAAGGUGGACUAAAAACUUAGGCUUUAACGUCGUUUUUAAACUGACAUUGUUGGCCUCUUUAAUGUCAAUUUUAAGGUCAACCGACACUAAAGAUCUUCAAUAACACUAUAAAAAAUAUCGGUUUAAAAAUGACAUUAUUAAUUUCGUUUCUAAACCAACAUUAAUGAGACCUUUAAUGUCAUUUUUAAACCGACAUCAAAGAAAAAACGACAUUAAAGACCUUUAAUAACGCUAACAUAGAUGUCGGUUGCCAACCAACACUAAAGGCCAUUAAUAUCAGUUUUAAACCGACAUUAAAGGUAAAAUUUCUUGUAGUGGUUGGAUAAGUAAAGAAAAGAUCUAUGAUAUAAGUAAGGACAACUAUAGCUAAUUGCACGAGACCUUUGGAGUAAAAUUAAAAGCAAAGCUAUGAAGGCUUUAUGCUUAAAAAGUAGACAAUAUCAUAUACCAUUUUGGAGAUAUGUUGGAGACCUACGACAUUGUGGAUAUAUGUUAGAGGGUUCGUUGUGCGACUGUCUCACAAGUAAAAAUGAGCCUAAUUACAACACAUCUAGAAACUAAUCCAACCCAAGAAUAUCACAAGAUCCACUAUUUCUCAUCCGAGUCUUGGAUUAUUUCAAAAGUAAGAGGCCUCAUUUCUACCAUCAUCUACCAAAUUACAAGACUAAUUCAACUAUAUAUAUUUCAAAAAUCAUAAGACCAACAUGAAGGUUUUUUUAUGAAGAAUUCGUGAAAGGUUUAUUUUACGCUAAUCAACCUUGUUGGGAAUUUAAUUUGUACUGAAAAUCAACCAGUUUGAUAGAACUAAUGCAAAAGAUUAACAUGGGGAAAAAAGUUUCAACAAUAACCUUGAAGCUCGAUAAUAGUGAUCGGUGAUUGUAACCCUAUUACUUAAGAGUGAUGGCAUAACUCUUACUUAAGAGUGAUGGCAUAACUCUCCAAUAAUGUAACUUCUGAUUCAAGUUGUGUAGCCCUUUAAUUUCCUUUGUUUGCAUCUAGAGGCAUUGAUGACUCUAAAAUUUACAUUCACUGUCUUGCAGCCGUUGUCUCAGUUCUCUAUCCUACAAUGUGUUUAUUGAGCGGAAAAUAAUUAGAAGGUAGCAUUGAUGAAUAGAAAAAAUUGACCUUUCUUCUGAUAAGAAAGAGAAACCGAACUUCAUCAAAGAAUUAGGGAAACAAAAUAUAAUGGGAGAUGAGGAAUCGACCCAAAAGGGCAUCACGUGAGUGGUGAAAAGUUCUUCUAGUAAUUUUUUGAAGAAAUAAUAGAAAAAGAGAAUAUGAAAGUGUUUUUGUAAGAUCACUCGAGUACAACUCAUUUUAUGGUGUAAAUAACUAAUAGUAUUAUUUUUUUAAUUGCAAUAUUGAAUAACUAAUAGUAUUAUUUUUUUAAUUGCAAUAUUGUCAUGUGGGUAGAUGAAAUAUUAAAUCAUGAUGGUACUGAAGAGAGAGAAUGAUCAAAAGAUGAACUAUAUGUAAUAAUUAAAGCUCAGUGCUAUUCAUCUUACAUAACCUCAAUCUCCAAACUUCAUAUCAUUCUCUUCCUCUUUAAUCAGUAAAAUUUGUAGUUGAAGGACAACACAUUACCACCAAAAGUAAUAGUAAAACUUAUUAUAUAAUAAAAAGUGUCAUAGAAAAUUUCUCCGUUUUAGAAUUUUUUUACAUACUAUAAAUAUAAAUAAUAUACACACACCCACGUAUGAAUCAUUAGAGCUUAUAGAUAUAAAUAUAAAUAAUAUACACACACCCACGUAUGAAUCAUUAGAGCUUUUAUAUACUAUAUACUAUUGAUAUAGAUAUAAAAUAUAUAUAUACACCCACACACAUGAAUCACAUUCAAUCACAAAUACAUAAAUAUAUAUAUAUAUAUAUAUAUACCACUUAUCUUCAUGAUCACAAACGUAUAUAUAUAUACACACACUCACAUAUGAAUUAUUAGAGCUUUUAUACAUAUUAUAGAUAUAAAUGUAGAUACAUAUAUAUCCACACAUGAAUCACAUUCAAUCACAAACAAAUAAAUAUAUAUAUAUAUAUACCACUUAUGUUCAUAAUCACAAAUGAAUAUAUAUAUACACACAGGCACAUGAAUCACAUUCAUCACGAAAGAAGAUAUAGAUAUAUAGCCAUUAAUCUUCAUGAUCACAAAUAUAUAUAUUGAUUUGUUUUAACAAUUCAAGAGAUGUGCUCAUAGUGUUAAGGGUAAAUUAAAAGUAAUGCUAAGAGAGGUCAAAUACGGUAUUUGCUUAUUAGGCAUCUGACAAAAAUCACUUCCAUAUAUUUAGUGAACAUUACCUCUCUCAAACUUUCAAUAUUGAAAUUUGAAAUUUGAGCUCGAUUUUAUUAUAUACGAGUGGUAAAAGUGAAUCCUAUAAUUUGUAAUAGUCGUAGGAAGUUGAACACUAAAACUAUAAUAAAAUGUUAACUUUCAAAUUUAUAUUAAAUGUUUUGAUCUAUUUACUUUUUUUUAGUUUGAGAAUCCAGUUUUUACUAUCAAAAGUUUUAGAACAAUUGCAGUUACCAUCCUAAUUUAAUUAGGGGUAAAUUCUUUUAAAAUUUUUCUUGUUUAUUUAAAGUUUGAAUUCAUUGUUAUUUCUAAUUAGGUUCUAAAUUUUCAUAAAUGUCAAUGUACAUUUUAUCAAAUUAGUUUUGAAAAAUAUAUUAGGGAAAACUUUAAUUUCUCAGUUUUAAUGUUUGGAUUAAUUUAGAACUUUUGUUAGAAAUAUAUUUGAAUAUCGUUAAUGCAUUAAAUUCGUACAUGUGCGUAGACUUUCAGACUUUAGCUAGAUUAAUAAGUUGCAAUUGAUGAGAAAAUACCAAUAAUUUUUCUCAUAAUUUCUAGAAGUAAAGAUGGUAUUGAUGGUUUCUUAAAUCGUAAAGAAAAAUUAUUUUAAAUGACAAAAAUGUUGAAAUUUUUUAUCAAUAUAACACAAAUAUCGUAUUUUGUUAGCGAUAGAGACUACUAUCUAGAUCUAUUACGACAUAGAUAAUAGUUCAAGAUGGUUUAUCAUUGAUUCAUAGACGUAGACAGUAAAAUUUUGUUAUAUUUAUAAAUAUUUUAAUUGUUUUACUAUAUUAAAAAAUAUCUAAAUAAAUAUGAACACAAAUUAAUAUUAAUAAUCAAAUAUAGCCAUGGAAGUAUUCGAAUCUUCCACCCAUAUAUUAUAAUAUAAUAUAAUUAUAUAAUUAAUAACUGACAAUUUUGUAUAGGUUUUUAUGUUGGGUAGGAAUAUAUAUAUAUAUAUAUAUAAAAGAUAGGAGAGAAAUUUCCUAGUUAAUGUGGACAUAUUAGACUUAAUUAUAUUUAAGUUGUUAUUAAGUUAAGAAAAACAUGUGAUAUUGAAUAUUAAAAAAUUUGUUCUUUUAAUUUAGUUAUUAGGUCUUUCUUAAAUUGACAAUUUUCAAUCUAGCUCAAAGUUGACAAAUUAAUAAAAAUAAUUUUAAAAUAUAGUAAGAAUGAACAUAUAAUAAUUAAUAAAUACAUACCAAUGUUGAUUGUUUGGUGAAAAUCAAAGAUUGGUCGUGGAAUAGACAUAUAUGAAUUACGUUUGAUAUUUGAGAUUCCACAAUUUUUGUUUUAAUUUGAUUAGUAUAAUUUACUUGUCACCCCCAAGAAAAAAACAAUAAUAGAACUUUUUCUUAAAGUUUAAUAAUAUAAUGAAACUUUAACGUUACAAUUAUAAGGUCGAAAUUGAAGCUCCAACGUCUAAGAAUGAAAAUAUAUCAUGUCAUUACCUUGAAAUAAAACUAAGACUCCAUUGACUGUGAGAAUAUUAGUUAAUGAUCGUUUAGGAUCCUCAUAAGUAUGAAAUUUUUCUCAAUAUAAUGAAUCAUAUGCUCCUCCUAAUUAGGUGUGAGACUUCCUCUUACCAGUAACUUUUUAUCUUUCCACCUUUAAAUGAAAACAACGAAUCUAUUUGAUAAACUUAGUUCAAGAAUAAAUCAAGUUUCUAAACAAUCUAGAUAAACAAUUUAAGACAUUCUCUCUUCUUACUUCACAAUCACUAAGAUUGACACACUUAUGAUUUACGACAAACAUCCAAGAUAGUGUAGUGAUAAUUCUUCAAUACAACCAACCCUAAAAGAAAUACAACAACGUAACCUCUUAAAAUUUGCCCAAUGAAGGAGAAUGAAACAAAUGCAUAUCAUCACCAACAAAUUUAUUAGUGUAGGCACAUGGGGGCUUGAGACCCCCUAGGGCCUCAUCUUUAUGCUUUUUGUAAUAUAUAUGUUACACAUACGUAUAUAACUGACAUUAUAUUAAUAUUAGUAGUUGACCAGUUGUAAAUUAGUUUUAUCGAUCUCCUCUAAACCUAGGUUUAAGCCCUACUCUAUACAGUGUAAUGCCACACACUACAAGAUUUGUUGUUUUUUCCAAAAAAAAUUCUGGCAACAUAACAAACAAAAUCGAUAAAGAUAUGUGUUGCCUGCAUAUUUUCAUUACGUGGAAACAUCAUUUCUACCGAUGAAAAUAUAUAUGUGGGAAAAAAAAAAUUUCCAAUGCAUGGUAUGUUUCGUGGGAAGAAUUGCAUUUUUUACCCACGUGUUUACUUGUGUGGGUGUUUAUACUGAUGCACGCCAUAAAAUCGUGGACAGAGAAAAGGACGACAAGCUUUUACCAUGAUACACAUGCUCAAGCAAAAACAAAAUGUCGACAAAGGUUUUACCAACUUUUUUCUUAACAUUUGUUGACAUUUUUUUGUGUCGAUGGAGACUAACACUACAAGAAAUAGGAACAAUUGCGACGUCAAAAACAACGUUGGUGAAAGGCGCAUCGUCAUUGAUCAUCUUUCGUCGAUGCACGCAAUGUUACGUCGUGGAAAGCCCCUUUUCGCGACGUAUAGGAACAAGACGUUGUUGAAAGUGUAAAUUUAAAUUUAAUGCGUUCAUUUUUUUCUAACGUGUGGUAGAGUGCAGGUUGGGGAAGAUUAAAUAAUAACUAUUGUUUAAACUUUCCUCGAUAUCACCUUGCCACACAUCGCGAAAAGGGAACGCAUUAAAUUUAAUUUUAUACUUUUCCCGACGCUGAGUGGAGUAAUGUCGCAAAAAGUUUAAUAAUAAUAAUUGUUUAAACUUUCUCUGACGUGCAACCUGCCACACAUCGUGGAAAGUGUCCAUAUUGAAGUGACAAUGGUCACCUUUCCCUAACGUGUGGCAGGAACACGUACGUCGAAAAAAGUCAACAUUAUUUAUUCUCCCUUCAACACAGAACAAAAUGCAAAACAAAAAUAAACCCAAAAUCGACCAAGAGAAAGGGAGGGGAGGAGAGUUGUACCGCUACUGUCGUCGUCCAUCUUCAUCGCCACAUUCAUCGAAAGUGUCCUCUUUUCUUCUCUUUUUCUUUUCCAUUUCAACUUUUUCGUUUCACUGUACCCUUUCAAAUCAUAGCAGAGUCAAAAUACAGAGCACCGCAAAAUGUGUUUAUGAAUCCAAACUGAAACACAAAGUUAAAAAAACUAUGAAGAAACUACAAGAAUAAUAGAAGUAUGCAAUUAAAACAGAACGUAACAAAGCUAGAAGAUGAUGAUGAUAAUGAUGAUGAUAAACAAAGAAAAGAAAACAUAAUGUAAAAGAAAAAAACAAAGUUUAGGUUUUUUCCGACGUGACGUGAGGAAGGGUUUCCUCGACGUGUUGACAAUGUGCGUCGGUGAACGUUUUUCCGUCGUCGACGCGAUUUGUGUCGGAGAAAAUAUUUCUAACGUGUUUUUCCUAAUGUACAUGAUGACGUCGACUGAGACGUCAGAGUAACCUUCCCCAACAUGUUUUGAGAUUUUAUCGAUGUGGGGCUCUAUUGGGGAAAACUCUAUUUCUUGUAGUGUAAAUUUUUUUUUUAUAGUAAACAACUUUAAGAAAUAAUGCGACCACCAAAUCUCUAACAAAAACAAUCAUAUUAGUCUUUUAAAUUUUUUAUAUUUUGGGAUAGUUGGAUUACACGCUUCUAAUUCAAAGUCAAAAAAUUAUUUUUUCUCUUUUUUUUCUUCAAAAAAAAUCACAAUAAUGAUCUAAUAACUAAAAUAAUAUUAUUUUUUAUUUAUAUAUAUAGAUUUAAUUAGAUUUGUUUUUAAAUAUAAAAAAAGACUAAAAUAUUUAUAAAUAUAGAAAAACAUGGUUGAUACAUAUUUUAAUAAUCACUAAUAAAUGCUAAUAUAAAUUUGAUAAACAUCUACAAGUUUCUAUCAUUCAAACUAUUUUUCAACAAAAAUAAUUUUGUCUUUUACAACAAUUUUUUGUUUUUGUUACCUAUUUAAUUUUAAAUAUUAAUUGGAACUAAAAUAGUGUUUAAUUAUUUAAUAAUUAAAAUUUAAUAUUUUAUUUUGAUUAUGAUUGAUCUUAUUUUUUACAACAAUGAUAGAUUUGAUUGUUCUGCUUAACGUUAUUUUUGAAAAGUUCUUCUUUGAUUAUUAAUUUCUAAUUAUUUAAUUAACUAAGAGUUUAAUUAUUCUAACAUAUUAAAUAUUUAUAAUAAGUUCUCAUUUUUUUAUCUUCUAGUUUUAAUCCAUAGAAAUUAAGUUUAUUAUUUAAUUUUCAAGUCAAAUUUGAGUCUUUUUAUAAUGCAUUUAAUUUUUUUUCACAACAUUAUUAUAUUUAAUUCAAGUUGUACAAUAAAUUAACGUUAAUUAUUUUUUAAUCACUUUUCACAUUCUCACACAUUGUCAUGAUCAAAAUAUAUAACUUGUACUUAAAAAUCUAUUUAUAUACAUAUUAUAUAUAUAACUCUCUUUACAAACAUUUAAGUUUUUUUUUGUAGGUUGAGGUUUGCUUCUCUUGAUCUUCAUAUUCAUUGUCUUGCUUUUAUUUAUUUGGGAUUACUUAACCUAAUUUUGAUCAAAACAUUUUCAUUUUCAUUUGUUUGUCUUCGUAUUCAUUUUCAUCUUCAUAUUUGUUGUCUUAUACAAUUUUAAAGUAUUCUUUAGUAAAUAAAAAAGGUUUUUUUUUUAAUCAUCAAAGUAUUAAUUAUUUAAUUAAUUUGAAAUUAAUGGUGAAAAAGUCAACAAAAAAAUAUUUAUACAAAUUAAAUAUUCUAGAUAACUUCUAUGUUUAGAUCUCUAUUGUAGGUUCCAUGAAGUUUUUGUUUUCGUUUUUUUUAAUACGUGAUAUAUAAUAAAUGGAAAACAAAGCUUUUCCACCUAUAUACACAAUUUUUUUUUAAAAAAAAAAAGUCAAAGAAAUGAAAGAAAAAAAAAACAAUGUGAACAUUGCUCAAAUGUCAUAAUUGUUAAAAUAAUACUAAGAAGAAAAACCAAAUUUUAAUUAUAAAAAGGGAGUCAAUUAAUUGUAAAUUUUGCAGUGCCAUCUUCCACAAACAGCUCCCCACUUCAUAAUUUUCUCCUUAUUUCAUCAUUGCAUUAUUAUUAUUCUUCCCUUCAAUCUCUUAGAAUUAGAGAUGGCAAAAGUUGCAAAUCAGCCAUCGUUAAUUCCUAUGCCUUUUCUAGUCAUCUUCUUCGUUUUCUCAAUCUUUUUUGGUUUUGGAAUAACUCUCUCUAAGGCUGUUUCCCAAACCAGAUACUACAAAUUUGAAGUUGAGUACAUGUUUUGGUCCCCGGAUUGUAUCGAAAACAUUGUCAUGGGAAUCAACGGUACGUUUCCCGGUCCACCAAUUAGAGCCAAUGUUAAUGACACCGUGGUUGUUGAGGUGAUUAACAAUCUCUCCACCGAAGGUGUUGUUAUUCACUGGCAUGGAAUUCUACAACGAGGAAGUCCUUGGGCCGAUGGCACUGCUUCCAUCUCGCAAUGUCCCAUUAACCCUGGAGAAAACUUCACUUACGAGUUCAAAGUGGAUAAGGUGAGAAGAAUUAAAAUGUGAAUGUCGACAGAAGUGUCAUGAUUACAUUUGAUAAAAUCUUUUCAUUUAUUGAUUUUUCUUUAUUAUUAUAUAAUUUCUAGCCUGGGACAUAUUUCUAUCACGGUCAUUUUGGGAUGCAACGAGCAGCUGGGUUGUAUGGAUCCUUAAUAGUGGAUCUAGAGGAAGGAAAAAAAGAGCCCUUCCAGUACGACGAAGAGAUCAAUUUAUUACUUAGUGAUUGGUGGCAUGCAAGUGUCCACGAGCAAGAAGUUGGCCUUAAAUCAAACCCAAUGCGUUGGGUUGGAGAGCCUCAGGUAGUACAUGUGUCUAAGUAAAUUAUGUUCAUAUUGACAAUCAAAUUGAAAAGGACAAAACUUAAUAUUUUUCAUCAAAAUUUGACCUAUAUUUUACCAAAGUAGAUAAUAAAAUAAUGAAACUUAUAGGUAAAAACGAAAGUAUUUUCAAGCUUAACAAUUUUAUUUAACAACCAUCUCUUUCUCCCUUUUAGAAUUUGGAUAUCGAAAUAUUUUGAAAUAAUAUUAUCACAAAGUUAAUUGAAAUUGCUCAAUCAACUUAGCUAACUCAUCUUUUUAACAUCUUUUUAACAUUUGUCACCUCAUUUGCUUUCAUUAGUUAACUAACAAAUUUUAGAGACUAUUUAAAACCAUUUCUUAAACUCUAUAAAUUAAAGUUUUCAUUUUAAAAUUUUGAGAUUAAACACAUACAUAUGGACUAGUUCAUUUUAUAAUUUUAAUUUUUAGCCAAUUUUCUAAUGGAAAUAUCAAUUAAAAUUUUAGCCCAAAUUUAAAGGACAACAAUUUUAGCCCAAACUAGAAUAUAUAUCAUCAUAAAAUUAACAAAAUAUCAUAAAGUAUAACUAUUUUAUUAUAACUUUGAAACCAUAUAAGAAAGUAGAUAAUAAUAAAAAUUCAACCAUAAGGCUAAAGUUGAUUUUUAUUUUCUUGAAAUUUGUCGUUAGUAUAUUUGUUUGAUUCAUGUAAAAUACUUGAGAUUUAAAUCUAAAAUUUCUUUUCCUCUUGUUAUUGAAGACCAUACUCAUAAAUGGGACAGGGCAAUUUAAUUGUACAAGCUUAGAAAAAUACAACACGAGUUCAGAGCAUUGUGAGUGGAAAGAUCAAUGUGCACCAUUUGUGCUCAAAGUCGAACCCAAUAAGACUUAUAGGAUAAGAAUUGCAAGUACCACUUCAUUGGCUGCUCUCAAUUUUGCCAUUUCGGUAAUAUAAUCUCUCUCUUAAGUAUAUUAUUUUUACAACAAUGUAAAGAUAAAAGAUCGAAUCAAAUGUUCCACCUUAGGGAUGAAAACUUAUAUCAUAUGUUUAUCUUUGAAUUUUCAGGUGUAUGUCUAUUUAACUAAAUAAACAAAUUGUUCGUUUAUAAUACGUAAUGAAAAUGAAACUUUUAAAGACAAUGGAUUGUGAAUUUAGAUUUUCUUUUUUCUAAUCAUUAAUUUUUCAUUAUUUUUAUAGUUUUGAAAAAAGAAAAAGUUCCAUCAUUUUUCUUUUCUUUUUCAGAAUCACACAAUGCUGGUGGUAGAAGCCGACGGUAACUACGUUCAGCAAUUUGUAACCUCCGAUAUCGACAUUUAUUCCGGCGAGUCCUACUCUGUUCUCGUCACCACUAACCAAAGCACAACGCAAAACUACUGGGCUUCCAUAGGCGUCCGUGGUCGGGAGCCUAAAACAUCGCCGGCACUCCUCCUCUUCAACUACCUUCCCAACUCCGUCGCCAAAUUACCCAUUUCUCCACCGCCAGAAAUCCCCAAAUGGAAUGAUUACGAUCGAAGUAAAAACUUCACAUAUAGAGUCUUAGCCUCUGCCAUGAACACAACAAAACCACCACCAAUCUUCACUCGCCGGAUCUCCCUCCUUAACACCCAAAAUCUUAUGAACGGCAACUUCAUAAAAUGGGCAAUCAACAACAUUUCAUUAACCCUCCCCUCAACCCCGUACCUCGGCGCCAUUAAGUUCGGUCUGAACUCCACGUUCAACCAGACCGCCCCACCAGAAACAUUCCCAAAGAACUACAACAUCAAAAUCCCACCGCCGAACCCGAACACGAACACCGGAAACAGCGUUUAUCGGUUCCGAUCGGGGGAAAUAGUGGAUGUGAUUCUACAAAACGCCAAUGCGUUAAGCAACAAUACAAGUGAAAUUCACCCUUGGCAUUUACACGGCCAUGAUUUUUGGGUUUUGGGGUAUGGAGAGGGGAAAUUUUCCGACGAAGAUGAGACGAAAUUGAAUCUGAAAAACCCACCGUUGAAGAACACGGUGGUGAUUUUCCCAUUUGGGUGGACGGCGAUUCGAUUUGUGGCGGAUAAUCCCGGCGUUUGGAUAUUCCAUUGCCACAUUGAACCUCAUUUGGAUAUGGGAAUGGGGGUUAUCUUCGCGGAAGCAGUUGAAAAGGUCAGGGAAAUUCCUCCGUAUGCUUUGGCUUGCGGCCGCACUGCCACACCUCAGGUUGUUCCAAUAAUCCCACGACCCAACCCACCGGGACUAGAUAACCCAUAUUACAUCAUUUGGAUUGGGUUAGUUAUAUUUUUGUGUGUGAUUGGAUUGUGUUAUGUAUGUCUUUAUCGUAUCCGAUUCAAUAAUUUGAGUUGGAGACCUUAUUUAGGUAUUUCGGAGAGUCAAUCCAACCAAAUUGAAUUUUCAGAUUUGUCUCAAUCCAACCCAAAUCCAAACCCAACUCAUGAAGAGCCCUAACGAGAACAAUGAUUGGUAUAUUCUUCCUUCGAAGCAAAUCUCUAGAACAGCCUAGAACACAAUUUUUUCGGUGUAAUUUGGAGUAUGUAGUUUGUUCGGUAUUUUUAAGAAAUCAUUUUUUUUUUUAUUGCUUGUUCAUUUGUUGACCUUUUUAAAACUUUUUUGUUAUUUACUAGAAUUUCACUCAUGUGUUUCUUUGAACAUGGAAAUUAUUACUGUGGUUAAGGUAAUUUGGAUUAAAAGAAACAACUUACUAAAUUUAAGAUUUAUGGAAAUUACAUCAACUAAAAUUUGGAUACAGUUGGAUAUUGUUCACUUCUUCAACCUUUAUUGUUAAUGCAGCCUAAAAGUAAAAUUGAAUGAAAUUUGAAAUACAUUGAACAAAAGACCAUUUAAUUUUAAUCUUUGGAGUGAGUGAAGUGUUCUAAUGUGAACAAAAAAAAAUGUAAUGGUAAAAGUGAGGUGUGUGAUCAUUUUCAUCCUUUUGUUUUGUAUAAAUGAUCUAAAAUUGUGGAUUUGAAUUUGGGAAAAUAUCAACUUAAUUACACCUUAAAUUAUAGGGUUUGCUUGGUUGUAUUAAUUUAGAUUUUCAACUAAUAAUUAUAUCAAUUUAAUUUUUAAACUUUGGAGUUAUCUAUCCAUCUAAGUCUCAAAAUAAUUUUGUAUCAAUUUUAGGCUCUAAACUAUUUUAAGUGUAUCAAUUUCAAUCUCAAACUUACAUGAUUGUAUCAAUUUAACCCUUAAAUAUAUGUUUUAUUUGGAUAUACACUUAUGAAAGUCGUACAUUUAUGAAAGUUCAGAGUUUAAGUUGAUCCAGUUGUGAAAGUUCAAGGUUUAAAUUAAUACAAUUAUUAGUAGUUCAACGUUUAAAUUGUGAAAGUUCCAAAUUCAAAUUUUAAUUUUAUAAAAGUUUGGAGUUUAAAUUGAUACACUCUCAAGGUUUAUGGUUUAAAUUUUUUUUGAAAAAGAUAAGGUUAAGUGUACCGAAGCAUCCCUUUUAGCACCAUCCUCAUCCUCUAUCAAAUAUAUUUAUUCAUUGAAGUGCAAGGAACAUGAUGAUCCAAAAGAACAAGGCUAGAGGUAAGCCCAAAAAAAAAAAAAAACAACGAACAGAGAAGAAUAGUCAAGUAAAAACACUAGAGUUUAGAGCGAUUACAAUUGGAGAGUAGUUUGAAAAAAUCUUGUUUUCAAAAGACCAACAUCCGAUGAGACUGCAUAUAUUCUCUUCUGUGUUGAUAAUUCUAGCAAAGUUUAUGGUUUAAAUUGAUACAACUAUUAAUUCAAUGUCUAAAGUGAUUGUACAUGAUAUUUGUACGCUCUACAAAUUUAUAUAGCAUAUAUAUCUUGUCGGUUUAAGGAAAGAAUUAUUUUAGACAAUUCUACCCCUUGCCAAAUUUUAAAUUUACAACAUUAUCUUAUACUUUAAAAUAAAUGUUAGUGGUUGCUUAAAAUUUUUUUAAAAAAUUAUAAAUUAUAUUAUUUUAUAAUUGAUUUACUAUUUUUUAUUUAUUUAAUAUUAAUGAAUAUAAUAUAUAUGUAUUAAUAAUUAAGGAAGUUAUCACUCACAACUCACAUCAAAUGAAGUAUAAUAUAAAUAAGGAAAUGAUUUGAAUUUGAUUUCAAAAGCUAUAUAUAAUUAAUAAUUAUGAUAUAAUUGUCCUAAAAAUAUACGAAAACCUAAUCAAGAAAAAAAAUCAUAAUCUAGUACAUUCGUGAAAUUUUCUAGUAGAUUUAGGUUUUUUUUGUCUAAAUAUUUCUAAUUUAAAAGAGUUGAAGAAAAAUAUGAUUUUAGAGACAGAAAAUAGAAAAAUUAUAUAAUAUUAUUCAUUAUAAUAUAGUUUUAUCUGUGUACGAAGUUGAAAAAAAACUAACAGUUUUUCUCUUUUUCUUCUUCUUCAAUUUUUUUGUGGAUAGUUCAAGUUCAAGCUAAAGAUGAAUUUUCUUAUUUAUCUUUUUCUUUAUCCAUUUUAUUUUAAGAUUUGAAUUGUUGUAUUACAGUCAAUUUAUAAAGCCAUUUUCAUAAAAUUUAUUUUUAGAUCACAUUUAGAACUAUAUUUUUUUGUGCAAAAUUAAUGUGAACAUGUGAUCAUAGAUUUUUUUUAGAGAUAACGUGAGAAUAGUAAAAAAUUAGAUUAAAAAAUAGAAAAUUCAAAAAAUAUUAAGAUUUAUAGCAAAAUCACGGUUGUAGACUUUUUUUAACCGAUUAUACCAUUUGUAUAGGAAAUUUCUUUUCCGUGAGAUACAAUGUUUUUGCAUAGGUAAAAAUGAUACAUGAUAUCACAGAUUUACAGAUUCAGUGUAUUUGCAAAAAUCGUUAAUUUUGAAAAAAUCUUAAAUAUUUUGAAGUUAAAUUUUAUAACAUCCACUAAAAUCAUCAAUUUUGAAUUCUUUUAAACUAUCUUAAAAAUAAUGGUAAACAUAAAUUCAACAUUUUUAGAUUAUUUAUAUUUCUAAAUAUUUCUAAAAAAUUUGAAUUUAAAUAACUCCAAAAUACAUUAAUAACAAUUUGAAUUUAAAAUUUUACCAUCAUUCCUUCAAAUUGUGCUAAUUAAGAUUAUCCAUUUAUUUUAUUUAAAAAAAUCACUCAUAAAAUCAUGCUAUUUAGUUUAGUUGUCGCUAAAAUAAUGACAAACAUAAAUUUAAAAUUUUCAGAUUAUUUAUAUUUCAAAAUAUUUAUAAAAAUUUGAAUUUAAGUACAUCAAAAAUAUAUAUUGUUAAUAACAAUUUGUAUUUAAAAUAGUAUCAUUUCCUAAAUCGUGCUAAUUACAAUUAUUCACUUAUGUUAUUAAAAAAUUAUAUUAUCCCCUAAAAUCAUGCUAUUUGAUUCAUAUCUCUAAAAUAAUGACAAACAUAAAUUUAACAUUUUCAAAUUAUUUAUAUUCUAAAAUACUUAUAAAAAUUUUGAAUUUAAAUACCUCCAAAAUACAUAUUCUUAAUACCAAUUUGAAGUUAAAAUUUUGUCUUCCCCUAAAAUCGUGCUAAUUGGUUGAUUUUUAUUUUUAAAAAAUUAUUUUAUUGUGCUAACUAUAUUGAAUAAUUAUUUAGACGUUAUUUUUUUAAUUUACUUUAAUAUUCACAUUUAUUUUCAUUCUGUGAGAGUCUCAAAUACACCUUAAGUGAUCCACGAUCCUUAAAAUUUCAUAGUCAUUCAUUAUACAAACAUAUUACAAUUAUUUGGCACUAUUCCAUUUUCAAAUAUUAAUAUUUAUUUGCUCAUGUAAUGACAAAUAUAAAUAAUUUUUGUAUAUUUUAAACAAUUUAUUAAAUAAUACAUAAUAUAGUUUUAAUAAAAAAUUGAAUUUAAAUUUUAGAUCCUCCCCUAAAAUAAAGCCAAAUAUAAGUACAAGAUUUUCACAUUUUUUUAUAUAUUUUAAACAAUUUAUUAAAUAAAACAUAAUAUAGUUUUAAUAACAGUUUGAAUUUAAGUUUUAGAUCAUUUCCAAAAAUAAUGUUAAAUAUAAAUACAAUAUUUUUACUUUUUUAAAAAAAAAUCUUAAAUAAUAUAUAAUAUAUUUUUAAUAACAAUUUAAAUUUAAAUUUUAGAAUUGUAACGAUGCCUCAAUAACAUUUUUGUAAUUAUUUAAAUCUUCUUCCUUUAAGUUUUAUUCGAGAUUAUUUAAAUCUUCUUCCUUUAAGUUUUAUUUUCUUUUCUCGAAUAAAACCUAUGUGAGUGUUUUUCUUGCAAAUCAAGAGAGGAGAAAAGUUUCAACGUCAGCAACAAAAAUCAUGGGUCUUGUGCCAUUACAUACAAAAGAAUGCAUUUUUUGUGUUCUUAAAUCCCCUCAUGUCCAUCAGAAUGCAAGAUUCCAUUUUGAAAUCAGAACUCACCAACGCCUCAUUGAUAUUUUGUACCCUACUGCCCAAACGAUUGAUUCUUUGACGCAACUCGACCUUCCAACUAUUAUUGACGUAGGAGGAAGAAAUUGAAGGUUUUCAAGGUUUUGAAGUUGAUUUGAAGAAGUUGAAGGUUUUGGUAGAACAAACCCUAAAAAAUUAGCAAACGAAAUAUUUUAGAUAAAUGAAACUUGAUCUAAUAAAACGGGUUUAAAAUAUUCAUAUAAUAACAAAAUAUUUAUUGUUUUGUAAAGUUUAUUAAUGAAAUAUUUUGAUAGCUUUUUUAAAAUAUUAAUUAAAAUUUUAUUAAUGAUAAAUAUAAUUAGUUUAAUACAAGUUUAAAAUAAUGAAAAGGAAUAAAGAUAUUUUAGAAACUUUAUUAAACAUAUGUUUUUCCGAGAUCUUAUAAAAAUAAAAUAAAUGUUAUGUAUUAGAUAAAUAUUUAUUUUCGAAGUUCUAAAAAAUAAAUAUAUAAACAUUUAUUAAAUAUAAUUUAGGAUAUAAUUUUAUUAAAUAAAUAUAAUAAAUAUUUAUUAGAUAUAAAUGUUCCAUUAGGAUACAACUAAUUGGAGAUAUUAUGAAUAAAAAUUUCAUUGAUAUAGGAAAAUUUUGGUUUAAUAUUCUUCAGCAAACAAAUGUUGCCAUUCAAUUAGAAUCUAACAUAAUAUCCAACUUUGCAAAAUAAAUUGUGUUUCACAAAUCUAGUCACCUUACAAAGGUCUUAUACGUUCAUAAUACUACGUUGAAAAUCAUAACAUAUCACGAAAUCACGGGCAAAGGAAUAAAAAAGGCGCACGUCAUGUACAUUUCAAUUUUCAAUUGUAUUCUUCAAAAUUAAAGUUUUGUAUUAUAUAUCGUAUAUUUUUUUCUAAAUUAAGUGAUAACUAUCUUAAGAAUAAGGCAUUAAGCAAAAUCAUAAGCUUUCAUAAUCAAUCUAAUAUUAUCAUAAAAGGUAAAACAAUUAUUUAAUGUUAUAAUUUCAGUUUAACACAUCUAAUCUCUGAUCUCAACAUUCAACAUAUUAGUAAUGAAUGACUAAUCAAUUAACAUCAAAUAGCAUAUAACUCAACAAUAUUCAUUAUAGCCAACAUGAGUUUAGCUCAACUGGCACCUGUAUGUUCGUGUGGACAAGAGGUCCUGGAUUCAAAUCGCACAAGUGAAAACCAAGGAAUACUGAAACGAAAGGGACAAGUCUUUCAAAAACCAAAAGGUUAUGUCCAAAAGUUAAUUAUUUAAAUGUGAACAAAUGAAUAAACAGUUGAGACUAAAUUUAAAACUUUAUUAAAAAUGGAGAAUUAAAAUGGAACAAACUCCAAAAUACAAACACCCCAUUCAUAAUUUAACCAAGAAAGAAGAGUGCUAGCAAAUAACACAACAAGAGAAUAGAGUAAAUUACUUCAACAAACCCUAAAUAGCCACAUUUUCUAUAGCUUUUUCAGGAGUAUUUUAGGGAUUUCAAUUCUAGGGCUUUUGAGUGGGGUUCCGAAUAAGCGCUUUCGCAGUGCCACCGCAAGCCAUAGCGUUCGUCGGAAUUCUCCCAACCUUAUGAACUCCUUCGGCGAAUAUAACCCCCAUUCCCAUAUGCAAAUGAGGUUCAAUGUGGCAAUGAAAAGCCUAAACCCCUGGAUUAUCCGCCACAAAUCGAAGCACCGUCCACCCAAAUGGGAAAAUCACCACCGUAUUCCUCAACGGCGGGUUCUUUAGAUUCAAUUUCGUCUCAUCCGCAGCAGAGGAAAAUUUCCCCUCUCCAUACCCCAAAACCCAAAAAUCAUGGCCGUGUAAAUGCCAAGGGUGAAUCUCGCUAUGCUUGUCGUUCAAUGUGUUGGCAUUUUGUAGAACAACAUCCACGAUUUCCCCUAUUUGGAACCGGUAAACGCCGUUUCCGGUGAUGGUGUUUCUGUUCGGUGGUGGCUUGUUGAUGUCGUAGUCUUCUGGGUAUGUUUCCGGUGGGGGAUUCUGGUCGAAGGUGUGGUUUAGCCCGAUUUUAAUGGCGCCAAGGUACGGCGUUGAGGGGAGGGCUAAAGAGACGUUGUUGAUUGCCCAUUUUGUGUAUCCGCCGUUCAUUUUAUUUUGGGUGUUGAGGAGGAAGAUGCGGCGGGUGGAUUUUAGCGGUGGCUUUGGACUGCCCAUGGCAGCUAAGAUUUGGAAUGUGAAGUUUUUGCUUCGGUCGUAAUCGUUCCAUUUGGGGGUUUCGGGUGGCGGAGAAGUGGGUAAUUUGGAGACGGGGUUGGGGAGGUAGUUGAGGAUUGUUAGGCCUGGAGGGGUUUUGGGAUCACGGCCGCGGAUACCGAGGGAAACCCAGUAGUUCUCCGAUGGUUUUUGGUCGGUGUUGAUGAGGACGGAGUAAGAUUCGCCGGAAUAAAUGUCGAUGUCGGAAGUUAGAAAUGGUUGAACGUAGUUGCCGUCGGCUUCUACCACUAAUAGUUUGUGCUUCUGAAGAAGAAAAAAGAAAUUACUAUACAAUUUUAAAAAUAAAUAAAUUCUGAAUAAUUAGCAAGUUGAAUUUGACGUUUUAGUUUUAAUACACAUAGUAAAAAGAGAGAGAUAGUUACGUACCCCGAUGGCAAAGUUGAGGGCAGAGAGUGAAGUGGUACUUGUAAUUCUAAUCCUAUAAAUCUUAUUGGGUUUGACUUCGAGGAUAAAAGGUGCACAUUGUUCACUUCCACUCAACUUACAUUGCUCCAUUUUCUUCAUGUUCAUGUAUUUAGCUGCAAUUGAACAAUUGCUUUGCCCUCUCCCAUUUAUGAGUAUGGACUUUGAACAAGAAGAAGGGGACAUAAAAAUACAUUUAAUUAAACCUCUCAAAUAGCAUUAAUAGAAUCAACAAGAGAAAGUACAAUAAUUAUAUCCCUAACAAAAUAAUUUACCUAAAUCCAAUUAACCAAAUCAAAACCCUUACGACACUUUAUCUUCUAUUUAGGUUGGUUUAAUUUCCAAUUCUUUUUACUUUUUUUAACUUCAUUACAUGGUGAGAUUUCAUCUAAGGAUAUUAUGGUAACUUUUGAAAAUAAUAUAAAAUGUUUUUUUUUAGAAAAAAUAAUUCAACAAUGAUAAUUGGAAGUUUGCAAAAAAGUUUAAGAAACAAUGUCUAAUAUAAAAAGUAAUUGUUAUGUGUAUAACAAAAACCAUGUUUCAAGCAAGUAAGGUAUUUAUAAGAGGGACAAUAUUACUUUCCUCAAUAUGUUUUAUUUUGGUAGAAAUUAUACCUUAUGUUAUUUAUGUGUCUCAAAAAGAGACAUAUAUGUUUGAUUUGUUGUUUCUUUUAACGGAAAAAAAAAAAAAAAAACUAAACGUGUUCGAACUCUUAUAGUUUGAGCUAUCUUGUGUUUUUAGUGUAGAGUAAGAGAUUUAAAUCAAUUUCAAUUUUUAGAGAUAAAAGUAAUGUGAAUGUCAAUGAAUCAAACUCACUCCGUUAUGUAAUUUUGACGUUGAAUUUUAUUGGAAAAUUGUUUUAAAUGGUAAAACGGUUGAAAAUACUUAUAAAUACAAUAAAAUUUCAUGGGCUUUCAGUCAUAGACAACUAUCCAUGAUAUUUUGCUAUAUUUAUAAAUAUUUUUGUUUAUUUUGUUAUAUUUGAAAACAAUCUAAUUUUAUAAAAUGUUUUAGUUAUUUUUUUGUCUAAGGAAGUUUUGUUUUUAAAAUGCCAUUGAGAGAAUAUUUUGUGGACAUUUUUGUUUGUUUGUAGUUAAAGCAGCAAACAUUUUGAAUAUUAAGAAAUAAUUAUUAAAAGUAUAAUUAUACCAUUUCGACAAAAAAAUCUAACAUUAGUUUAGUUAGAUAAUUAUUAAUAAUAAAGUAUAAUUAUACCAAAUUGCUACCUAACAAUACUUUUAUUUUUUGCUUUAAAAAAAAUAUAAGCUUAUAAUAUUAUUUUCACAAAUAAUUAUCUUCAUUAAUUUUAUUAAUCUACCAUUUAGAUAUACAAAAUCAAAGUUUUGAUAAAUAAAUUUGUAAAAGUAGAUUUUGUUGUAAAAAUUUAACAAAAGAAUCCUACACAAAUGUUUCAAUUAUCUCUCUUUUCAUUUGAGAUAUGCUUUAUUUUUAUACAUAAAAUUUUAAUUUAAACACUGUCCUUCAAAAAAUAUCCUAAAAUAUAAUAUUGAAACAAACUCCAUAAUUCUUUCUUUCUUUAAUUUCUUCUUCUUCUUCCUUUUUUUUUUUUUUUUUUUUUUGGUUAAAGUAGGACUUAAUUUUUAAACCUUGACCAUGAUGCCAAUAUUCAUAUUUUUGAACUUGUAGAAAUAAAAACACUCUCAAAGGUGUAUAUAUAUAAUAAUAAUAAUUUUCAAAAUAAAUAGAGGGAAUAUAAAUGAAAGUUUUGUUAGAGAAGAGUAUAGAAAACCUACCUCACAUCUCAUGAAUAUUCAGUAUAAUUUAAGAAAAUAUCAUAUUUGAUGGUUAGUCCAAACAUAAUUAGGAGAUAAAGAUAUAACUUAAACUACCUGUGGUUCACCAAUCCAACGCAUUGGGCUAGAGCUAAGGCCAAUUUCUUGCUUUAGAAUGCUUUCGUGCCACCAAUCACUAAGCAACAAGUUGAUUUCUUCGUCGUAAUGGAACGGCUCUUUCUCUCCUUCUUCUGGAUCCACUAUCAAGGAUCCAUAUAACCCAGCCGCUCUCUGCAUACCCAAAUGACCAUGAUAGAAAUAUGUCCCAGGCUGCCAAACGCAAGUUCAACAAAACAAAUAAAUUUUGUUAGAGAUUAUAUUUUAUGUCACUUUAUUCAGCAUCGACAUUUCGAAACCUUCUCACCUUAUCUACUACGAACUGGUAAGUGAAGGAUUCGCCUGGGUUAGUCGCACACUGCGAGAUGGAAGCAGUGCCAUCGGCCCAGGGAGUUCCCUUCUGUAGGAUUCCAUGCCAAUGAAUGACAACAUCUUCAGUGGAGAGCUUGUUAAUCAUCUCUACAACCACAGUGUCACCAACAUUGGCUCUAAUAGUUGGCCCGGGAAACUGGCCGUUGAUUCCCAUGACGAGGUUUUCUUUACAGUCCGGGGACCAAAACAUGUAUUCAACUUCCCAUGUGUAGUGUCUAGUUUGGGAAACAGCAUCAGAGAGAGUUAUUCCAAACCCAAAAAUGAUUGACAGAAGAAAGAACAUGGCUGGAAAAGGCAUAGGAAACAAUGGCUGAUUUGCAACUUUUGUUGCCAUCUCUUGGUAAAGAGAUGGAAGGGAAGAAUAAUAAUGCAAUGAGCAAAAAAGAGGAAAUUGGGAGUGGGAAGUUUGUGGAAGAUACCACUGCAAUUUACCAACGGCUCCUCCUUAAUUUAUAAUGAAAUUUUGUGAGGUUUUGAUAAUACAAAUUUAUGUCAACUUAUUUUUUCUUUUGUCUUCAUUUGUUUGAUACUUUUUUUUAUUGGUUUUAUAGUUCUAAAGGUUUUUUCUUCUAUGGAAAACUUGACGUUUAUAUGAUGGAUAUUGAGAACCUAGAGAGAGAUUUAAAUGUAGAAGUUUGUUUGGAUGUUUAAUUUUUUUAAUUAAAAUGUAUGUAUAACAUAAUAUAAUAACUUUUUUUUAAGAAUUUGCAUAGUAGAAAGGUACUGAAAUUAUGUGUUAUGUAAGAUUGUCUUUGCUAAGCUUUAGGUAAUCUAGAUACUAUUAAUUUCAUAUAAUAAAGUUUAUCUAAAUUUUUUUUAAGCUGAAGUAAAUUUAUUUGUUCUAACAUUUUCAUCUUAUAUUUUUAUAUCAAUUAGUUUAUAUUAACUUUAUUUUUUUUGUUUUUUUUAUCAUAAAUAAAUUUAUAUUAUAUAUUUUUUCAUUUAUACAUAUUUUAUAUUUCACAUUUUCAUUUUUUUAUUUAAACAUGAAUUUUUAAUGCAUGCAUGAGAGUCUUUCUAAAUACAAAAGUAUUAUGCCUAAAAGAAUAUACAAACGUAUUAGGUAGUUGUGGGAAAGAUAAAACGAACAUUGUAGUUUAAUAUAUAAUUAAAAAGAAUCCAAAUAUUAUUUGACUUUAUCUAAAGUUAAUUAUUAAUUACAUAUAAUUAAUCACAACCUUGCAUUAAUUUAUAUUUAUAUAAAAACAAGUGAAAUAGAGAAAGUGGAUAAAAAAAAAAAAGAAAAAUCCACCAAACUCAAUCAAAAUAUCAAUUUCUUUUUGCUAUAUUUUUCUAUCUCUAACGAUUUACCUAAAAAAAUGAGAAAAAUGAUGGGAAAAGGGUUAGUAAAAGAUUCUUCAAAACAUGAAAAGUCUUAAGAACCGUGAUUAAAAUAGAUAUUAACAUUAAUAAAAUGUUUGGUUAUAAUUAGAAAUAUUGAGGUUUCAAACCUUACGAAAAUAUCAAUAAAAAAUUUGAAUAAAUUAUGGAAUGAAAUCGUUAUAAUUAAUUAAUAAAAGUACUUUUAUUGUGACUUAAUUAGAAUUAACCAUUUUUAAUAGCAAUGUCUAUAAAGUAAGACAACCAUUUAGGUGCCUAUUGUUAGUGCAUGUGCAAAUGUUAAUAAGAUAACCUAGAUUUAAAAAUAAAUGGAAAAGUAGUUACCCAAGUUUAAGAAUGCUUUCGAGUGAAAUAUUCCACGAGGUUAAAAGUAAGUUGAAUUUUUUGGUUGGAGGAAAAAUACAAAUAUAACAAUUAUAUAAUCAAAAUAAUUAAACAUACAACAACAUUUUAAAAAAAUUAUAAAUAUAUAGCAAAAUCUAUUAAAACCUGUCAAAGAAAGAGUUAUCUCAAUAGAUUUUGCUAUAUUUAUAAAUUUUUAAAAAUGUUUUUAUAUAAUUAAUAAUUAUUUCUAAAACUGCUAUCCAUUAUAAUUAUCCUAAUUAAAAUUUAGAGCUCUUCCUCUAAAAUUUCGAUUUAUAUUGUCCAUGACUUUCCUACGUGUCAUUCAUUAUUGUUAUAUUUAUUUAUAUUAGUAGGUUAAAGAGUUGACCUUUUACUAUAUUUAAUAUUAUUUAUUAAUAUGUCAAUAUGAACUUUUAAUUAAUUUAAGGAAGCCCUAAUAAUUCCAUUAAGAGAUUUUUUUUUUCAUCAAUAUAUAUAUAAUGUAUUUUUAACAAAGCUAUAAUAGAGGUUGAGAUUAGAAGAAAAGUCUUCUAAAGUAAAACAAUGAGAGACAAAACAAAUAUAGACAAAAAAAAAUCAUAAAAUUGCAUCACACACAAGAUCAAACGAACCAAAAAUAUUUUUUAAAAAUUGAAUAUUCAAUCUCACUCUCACAUGUUACUUCAAAUUAAUGUACUCAUUAACUAAUAAAAGUACUUUACCUAUAUAUAUAUAUAGGACAUGAGGUUUUUUAAAAAAAAAAUCAUUAUCGACGCCUUCUCCUCUCAUCGUCUAUUUUAAAAAAAAAGUCUACACAAAUACACGUGUAAGAAUUUAUUAUAUAAUAAUUUUAUUUAUUAAAAAUUUAUAAGAUGUAAAUCGAUCCAUAUCUAAAAGUUUAGAACUAAGGGCUAAAGUUACGUAAUUUUAUAAUUACGUUUGGUGAUAGAAAAUUAAGGUUUUAGGGGCAUAAUUGCAGUUAGAAUUAUAUGAAGGGUGCUUUUUGCAAUUACUUCAUACACUCAACAUCAAAGUGAGUGUUUAGUACACAAGGCAUGUCAUUCAUUGUAUGUCCACUCCACAUAUAUAUACAAUACAUAUAUGCUCAAAGGUGUUAUUAACAAAAAUGAUAAUUUUUUGAAAAAAAUAUCUUAUAUCAAAACAACUAUGUCUUUGUCCUUACUAUCAGUUAAUUUCCAUCUAUAUCUUUAUUCUUUUACAUUUCUACAUUUUCAAUCUUUUUCAAGGGGCAAAUUGACAUUUUAUGCCUUUUUUAUAUUUAUGAUAAUUAAUUGCAACCUUAAUUUUUAUAAAUAUAUAUAACAAAACUCUAAUAUAUUUACAAUCGUGUAACAAAAUCAACAAAAUUCAUGAAGCUAAUAAAAUAUUUUCAUAAAUUCCAUAUUUGUUCCUGAUAUUGCAAAUGAUUCGUCGCUUCUCUUUCCUCUUCUUCUUUACAAUUUUUUUAUCUUCUCUUCCAGAUUUCUUCAACUCCUUUGAUGUUCUUUCUUCUAUUUUUAUUCAUCUUCUUUUUCUUUCUUUCCUUCGACUCCUCUUCUAAAUAUUAAUUUGAUAUGAUCUAAACAAUCGCUUACCUCAACAUGAUCAAAUAGCAUGGUCAACACGAUUGUUUAGAUUUAAAGUCAUUUUCCAUCGAUUAAAAAGAACUACACGAUCGUGUGGAAACGAUUUAAGUGAUCACUUACCUAGUCAACAUGAUAUAUAUAUAUCAUUUAGCAUGGUUAACACGAUCAUUUAGAUUUGAAGCCAUUUUUUCUAUCGUUUCAAAAGAACUACACGAUCGUGCAGAUAUGAUCUAAACGAUCGCGUACCAUAGUCAGCUCGAUCGUUUAGUGUGGUUAACACGAUCUUUUAUAUUUAAAACAUUUUAUUUCAUCGUUAAAAAGAACUACACAAUCGUGUGGAUACUACCUACACGAUCAUGUAUCAUGUUCUAUGUCGAAGUGUCUCAUGAUCGUUAAUUUAGAAAAAGAAUUAUACAUGUCCAUGCGGCCGAUUAAUCGUGUGUUGACUAAGAUAUUUUUUAUAUAUUUUUUUCAUCAUUGGCCCGUAACUUCUUCCAUUUUCAAAAUUGUUCUAUACAACGUAAAUAUUAUGUUAAUUUAUUAUAUUUUUUAAAAACACUAAACAAAACAAUAAUUUGGGUGUGAACUAAUAAUGUUUCAAUAAAAGAAUAUAUACAUUUUUUAAAUUUUAAAAAGGGAAUGAUUAAAGCUCAUAUUUUGUUUUCGUAUAAUUUUUCGAUAAAACUCAUAAUUUAAGGGAAGGGAAGGGAAUGACUAUAAAAACUCAUAUUUUGUUUAUAUUUAUAUAUUUGGUUAAAUUACAUUUUUACCCUUGAAGUUUAAAAUUUGUACGAUUAGUUCUAAUGUUUCAAAUUUGCAACAAAAAAAAAAGUACUCAAAUUUUAGAAAAUGCUCGAUUACGAUCCAAUUGGGAUCGGUUAAAUAGACAACAAAGAUGAGACAAAUUUACAAACUUUAGUAUGAUGUGUGACGAAAAACGAUUCCAUGAAGAUGUGGCUACAUUCAAAUAGUACCAUUAUUUGUAAGGUGAAGUUUUUUUCGUCAAUCUCUUCCCUCUUCUUACAAAAUUUGUUGUUACCAAUUCUUCCCAUCACUUGUCUACUUUUCUUGAUUUUGACAAGAGAGAAAAAAAGUUGGUUGACAACAUCCUCGAGAGGGAAGGGUGGGAAGAGAAAACAUUUUUUAAAAUUUUUAUUUUCUGAAUAAUAGAUUAAAGUUAACAAUAAUAGUUAAUUUAAUGUCUAAAUUGUGAGGAAGUUGAUUGUUUAAUUUUAAAAUGUGGAGACAUACUUUAGGAUCAAAGGUAUAAUUUCUUUAUAUUUUGAAAGCUACCAAAUUUAGUUCACUACCUCUAUUUUAUUUUUUUUCAUUUGUUUUUCACGUGGGAACAAUGAAAAUAUGUAGUUUCCUUUCAAAUUGGAAAGCAAUUCUGUCUGUUGGCUACAAAGACAAAAUACUAUUUGUUUUUCUUUUUAUUGUCUAAAUAAUAAUAAUACACGUUAUUGCUAUGUAGCUUUUAAUGAAGUAUGUUAGAAGUGUUAGGUGUGUCGGAGGAUAGAGGUAAAUUUAAACUUAACUUUUGUGAAAGUUGGGAGGUUGGACAUAGCGUAUUCAUGAAUUAAGCUCGAGUAAGUUGGAGCAUUUGAGAUUAGAAAUAUAAGACUAAUCAAUCUUAUUUAUGUUUUAAGACUUUUAACGAGAUUGACAAGAGUUGGAUGAAAAUUAGGAAUAGGUUUUAAUCGAUUAAGCACAGAGAAGAAAAUUUUCAAUUUUUAGAGGUUGCAAAAUAUCACGACAAUAAUUAUGGACGACUAAGGUGUCCAAGCAAGAGAUGUAUGAAUUCAAAUUGAGACUCAUUAGAGGGUGUGGAGCGACAUCUAUUAACAACUGGAAUAUCCCCCAACUAUACAGACUAGGUAUAUCAUGGAGAGCCUGUGAACUUACACAGAGGUAUGCAAAGAUUUGAUGAAGGAACUAGCAUUAGUAACCCCUUUUGAAAUGUUGGAUAUGAUUCAUGAUUUACAAACUCCAAACGAAUGCGAAGAAGAGACGGAGGAAGAUUUGGAGAAUGAAAUGUCGUGUAACAGUGGGGUAGAUAUAGAAGAAGAGACAACAAACGUCGUAUUUCAUGAGUUAUUAAACCAAGCAAGUUGUGAACUAUACCUCGACUGUUCAGAAUUUUCGUCCUUGAACUUUUUUGUUAUGGUAAUGCAUUUAAAGGUUCUUAAUAGUUGGAGCAACAAGUCGUUCGAUAUGAUGUUAGAGAUAAUAAAAUGUGUGUUUCCAAUGUGUGGCACCAAUAUCUCUAGUUCAUUUUACGAAGCCAAACGAAAAUUGCGUGAGUUGGACUUGGGAUACGAGAAUAUUCAUGAUUGCAAGUACGACUGUGUAUUGCUCUAGAAGUGUUUGGGGAUUUGCAACAGUGUCCAACUUGUGGUGAGUUUCGAUACAUGGUUAGUUCUAAUAGAUCAAGAAAAAAUUCUGCAUAAAGUAAUCCUACUACUUUCUGUUGGUGCCGAGAUUUCAACGCUUGUUUGUAUUGCAAGAAAGCUCGACAGACAUGAGAUGACAUAAGGAUAAAUGAGUGAGAACAAAGGAUUUGUUGAGACGUCCAACUGAUGUAGAGGGAUGGAAGCACUUUAACUCUGAAUUUCCUGAUUUUGCUCUAGAUUUACAGAACGUCUGUUUGGAAUUAGAUGCAAAUGGGUUUAAUCCAUUCGGUUAUAUGAGUGUCUCGUACAAUAUGUGGCAUGUGGUGUUAAUUCCUUACAAUUUGCCACCAUAGAAAUGCAUAAAAGAGUCAAACUUUUUCAUGCCAUUGUUCAUUUUUUGUCCAAGAUCUCCUGGUAGGGAAACGGAUGUGUACCAACAAACCAUUGAUUGAGAAACAGAAAGAGUUGUGGACUUUUGAUGUGCGUACGUAUGACUGUAUUACAUAUCAAUUUUUUCAAUUGCACGCAACCUUGUUGUGGACAAUUCAUGACUUCUCGACAUAUGGUGACCUAUCUAGGUGGAGUAUGAAGGGGUAUCAGACAUGUCUCAUUUCAUGGAAAAUAAAUCGUCGUUGGAUAAGAGAAAAAUAGCUUUCAUGUGGGACAUCGACGCUAUCUUUCAGAUAACUACAUGUUUGCCGUCGAAGUAGGCUACAUGAUGGAAAAGUCUAGCGUAAGCUAAGACUCCUCCAAUAGUAAUAAAUGAGCAUGAAAUCUUCAAACAACUAGAUUCGUUAGAAUUUCCACUUAUGACUAAGUAUCAUUCGUUAAAAGAUAAGAAAAGAAAUAAAGCUUUUGAUUGGUACAAGAAAAGUAUUUUCUUUGAUUUUCUUUACUGGUCGAGACUACUAAUUCGUCAUAAACCUGAACAACUUAAUUAUAUUUUUUUUGUUAAUUAUAUCGAUUUCAUAUUUUGUUUUAUAAUUUGUAAUUUUUUUAAUUUUAAUAAUAUGUUACAAAUUUUGUUUCUUUCAAUUUGAAGCGGAACUGAAAAUAAUAUACCUUACAAUAAAAAAUAAAAUAAAGAAAACAAUAAAAUGAUAAAAUAAUAAAAUAAUAAAAAAGAAAUUUAUCCCAACCUAGAAAACAGGUCGGGAUCCUGUGUUCACCCUGACUUACCCAUACGACAUCGGGGAAACUUUUCUCGAUGCAUGUCGAGAGUACCCUUUUCUUGACGCACAUAGACAACAUCAAGCGUAUUCCACUACCGACGUCUUGCCUGUGUCGGCAUGGACAGUGUUGGGAAUAACCCUAUGUUGACGUCUUCACUUUGAUGCGUCGUAGAAAGCUGCCCCGGCGUUGAAAUCCUGACGUUCUAGUUGACGGAGAAUUAUGCGUCGAUAAUACUUUGACUGACACCUUUACUAUUUUUGCCGACGAUUUGUGGUGUUAGAAGUCCUCCGCUUUCUUGUAGUAGGAGUUGCUCACAAGUCCUGACGUGUUAUGAAGUGCGAUGAGAGAGACUGCACCAAACGCGUAUAUGAAUCGACAUUAGGAGCUUGUCCUUACUUUCGACGUCAAAAUGAAGCGCGUUGGGAAAAGGAAACUCCUGACACCGAUUCAUAUACGUGCUAGGAAAUCGUCUCCCAAUGCAUUAUUUCUUUCAACUCGUCUCCUGACGGUCCUGUAUGCGUCGGGAUCCUUUCUAGACGCAUUUGGAUAUAUAUGUCAAUGCUUUUAUGUGUCGAAAGAGCCACUAUUUCUUGUAAUGAUAUUUGAUUCUUUGGUUCUUUCUCUUGAAAAAAUAAAUUUAACUAUUAAAUUUUCUGAUAUUCUUGGAUAAUCAAAUUUAGGCUUGAUGAACUUCUUCAAUGAUUGACCUUUAUUGGGUUUGUUGAUCUUUUAGAGAAUCGACCUUCGAACUUAUUGGUCUUUUCUUAAAUGAUCGGUAUUUAGGUUAGAUGAUUAAUUUGGAUUGAUCAUUGGUUUGGUGAUAUGCUUAGAUUUGCCUUACAAUUUUAAGAGAGUUAUAUUUUUUUGAUCUUAAGAGUUUUGAUCAUAUAAAUUUUAGAUUUUAAGAUCUUUAAAGCCUCCAUCUCCAAAAUUUGAGAACUUCAAAGUUUCAAUUUUUAGAGAAAUCUGUGUGCUUUAAUUUAGUCUUUUAGAAUAAUUUAAGAACGUCGAAAUCUUCCCAGCUUUCAAUUUUUCAGAAGGUGAUUAGUCUCAAGAUUGAUAAGAACUUUAAUGUCUUGAGAGCUUCAAAUCUUCAGAGCUUCGACUUUUCAUCGUCAAUUCUAUGGCCCAAAUUUUCAUGGGGCUUGAAUUCGGUCAGGUUCAAGAUACUUUAAUUAGAGAUAACUGUGAAACUCGCAAAAUAUUAAAUAACAAACUGAAGAAUAGCAAAUCCCCAAAAUAUUAAGAUUUAUAGCAAAAUUGUCGAUUGCAUAAUUUUUUUGACUUUUUUUGACUUUUUGCAUAGAAUAACAUUUUGAGAAUAUGAUAUAGUAAUUAUAGCACGUUGUUUUAGAAUUUUGCAAAUAUGACAAAAACUCUCCAUCUUAAAUUUGUUAUUAUUCUUAAACUGUCAUUCAAUAACUUAUUUCUCUUUCUUUUUUUAAUGCCUUACUCAUUAUUUAUUUAUUCUCUCACUUUUUCAAGUCCUAAUUAUUUGUUUAUUCUUAUACUAUAAAAAUUAUUUAUUAUUUAUGUCUUAAUCUUAAUUUUAAAAUUAUAGUACAAUAAUUGCAAUAUGAAAGAUAAUAUAAUGAUUGUUGAUCGAAGUAAUUUAACUUCAUUUGUGGUUCUUUUUUUUUUUUUUACUUUCUUCGAUGUGUAUUUUAAGUUGAAUAUGAUUCCAAAUGAUUUUAUUUUAUUUUUUUACAUCAAUUUUUUUAUUUUUCUUUGUCUCAGUUUUGUAUAUCAAUAUUGUGAUAUACUUGUAUUAUAUGUAGUAGUCAGUUAAUAUACUUAUUACGUGAUUUUCGAUUUUUUAAAUUUUAUGCAGUUUAUUAGAGUAUUAUUAAGUAUAUGAAUGAUGUAACUCGGUGUAUCAUUAUCAAGAAUAUCAAUAAUAUAUUGUUAAAGCAUAUCAGUAAAGUGAAUCAUUAUCGAGUAUAUUAAUCAAGUUUACAAGUGUAUAUCAAAUCUAUAAGUAGGACUUCAAGAAUAUCAAGUGCAUUUAAUCAAUCAAUUGUAUAAGUGAAGAAUACUAAAUGUAUCUGCAGUGUAACAAGUGUAUCAAACAUAUAUUAGUAAUGUUUUAGGUGUGUAUCAAAAGAUAUCGAGUGUAUCAAAGUGAGUAUCAGGUAGAUCAAGUGUAUCAAUCAAAUGUAUCGAGUGUAUCAAGAAGUAUCAAGUGUAUUAAGGGGUGUAUUAGGUGUAUCAAACGUAUAAUAGUAACGAGGGUAUUUAUGACAUUUUACCUCUUGAUAUGUGGGUCGGGCUUCAAUUUUGCCAUUUUCGCAAAUAAUAAAUUGUGUGUCCUAUAGACUUAAUUAUUAUAAUUUAUUUUGUCAUUUUUUUCAAGUACCCCUUAUAUAAAACAAUUCAUUUCUUACACAUACAGUGAAUGAGGCAGAAUAUCACAAGUUCAUGAAUAUAGUGUAUUUGCAAACAACAUUAAAUUUUGGAAAAUCUUAACUAAAUAUGAUAUUUUCGAGUUUGAUAAGAUUACACCAACAUCCCUAAAUAUAUGACGGUAAUUUAUAUCAUAUUUUUGGAUUCUUAAAAUUUAAAUCAAUUAAUUAACAAUUUAUUGAUAUAAUUCAUAAUAGAUAUGUUUAACAAUAAUGUGAAUUCAAAUUUUAGAUAAUGUCACUAAAAUAAUAGCAAAGAUCAAUUCAAUAGUUUUUGAUUCUUUAUAUUUCAUACUAUUUAUCAAAUCUUUAUUAAAUAAUACAUAAUACAUAUUUUUAAGGUGAUUUUUAAAAAUAAAAUAAUGGACAAACUAUUUCAUGCCCAUAGCAAAAUUUUAAUCCAAGACCAAAAUGGAUAACUAAAAUUUUAACCGAAGCCAAAGUAUUAAUGUUUUUUUUUGCUAUAGGAUGUAAAUACUUUCCAUUUUCUUCUAUUUAUGUAAAUUUAUUACAUGAACACAUCUUCAUUUUUGUCGACGAAAAUAUAUAUGUGGCCAAAAAAGUUGUGUAUUGCGUGGGCACAUCAUCGUCUUUGCCAACAAAAAUAUACAAAAAUAUAUAAGUGGACAAAAAUGUGUGUGGUGAAAAGGAAAAUUUUUAAGUUGGCUUUCUGCCGACAUUUACUUUUGUUUAUCACCACGUAUCGUGUGUUGGUAGAUAUUUUAAAUAUGUGCCCUCAUAAUUUAUGUGGCGAAAAAUCCUACAUUUUUAUACAUAUUUAUGGCGACGCUAGACCUAUACAUACGACGACGCAAGACUUAUAACGUAGGCAUAAGUGUUUUUUUUUAAAAAAAAAAAACCUAAUUUUUCCAAAUAUUUUCCUCCUUUUCUUUUCUCUCACGCAGUUCCUCCUUUACGUGAAUGGCUUGCUGCACCCCAAACACCAAGAUUUUCUUUGCUCACGUUGAUUGCCCAUCUUCGAUUUCACUCCUUGUCGUCACUGCUCUUCGCUCAACGGCUCGCUGCACCCCUUGCUUAUCGAUUUGUAUUAACUCAAAUAAGGUCUGAAUUGUAUUAUUGCAUUAAAAUUUCAGUACCUCAUCUGAUACACAAAAGCAAUAAUUCUCCACUGAAUUCUUAUGAAUUCUUAGUAAUUCUUUGGAUGUAUCUUCUUUUUCAUUUUCCUUACUGUAUUCUCUAAAUAAGAAAUUUUAACAUCCUCCCGAAGUUGAUCAAGGCUAAAAGGCUAGAUGCACAAUUGAGGUAUGUGAGGUGCUUAAAGUACUUGAACUAAUCUCGAGGUUUAGAAAAAACUUUUGCAUUAAACUGUAUGUUAGGAUGAUCGUAGCUUACUGUUCAUCAUUCUUUUACUUUAAGACUCUAGGAUGUGCAAAUAAGUGGCUCAAUCUUUGCAACCAUCCACCAAAUUUAGUUGAAUGUUCCAAGGCAUGGUGGUUAUUGUGUCAACCUUCUCCAAAUCAUAGCAAACUCAACUACCUAUCAAUGGAACAAAAAACAUCUAUAAGAAACAAAUAAAUUGUAAAACUUUUAUUUUGAAUGAGAAAAAAAAUAUCUAUUGAAUAUGACAUUUUUAAAUAUAUUAGUAAUUUAGAAACGUCACGUUGAUAACUCUAUUGAACAAAACAUUAAUUAAAUAGUGACUUUUUAACUAGAAUAAGAAACUUUUUUGAUAGACAUUAAUAUUACGCAUGAAUAUCCUUCAACUAUGAUAGCAAAUCAUGCAUAUAUUUCAUAUUUAUUGUAUGCUUGAAUUAUAAUAUGUUGUGGCUAUCAUAUCGCUACAGUAGCCAAUCAUGUAUAUAUUUUACACUUAAUAUAUGUUUGAGUUAAACUGCUACUUUGGACACGUUUUUCGAUAUUUUGUGUUUGAUUAUGAGUUUAGAAGGCACAUUUGAGCAUUUUGAAAGGAUUUUUUUGGACUUAAAAGGUGAUUUUUAGUUUGAUAUUUAAGACAGUUAGUAGGUGAGUUUUUGUUGGAUUUUAAUUUGAAAGUUACAAUUGGGUUUUUGGUUGUUUUGACAUAUAAAAGGCUACACAAACCCAUUUUUGAGUUAAAGUACCACUUAAACAUUUUGGAGGUGUUUUGGGGGUAGGGAAAGGAAAUGAUUAGUCAUUUCUAUGUAUGGGGGGCAAGAAUUAAGGUGGGAAAGGAAUAAAUUAAUUUCCCACUUAAUCCUUCUCUUUCUUCCAUAAAUACAAUCACAUCAAACUUUUCUCUUUUUUCAAAAUAUAGAUAUGUUUUUCUUAAUAAUUAUAUUUUAACAACUAUAAGUAUCUUUUCACUUUUCCAUAACAAUUUUAUAUAUAUAUCCACAAAUACACAUAAUUAUGAAAUUUCUAUUAAAUAAACACUCCAAGAUAUUUAAUUAAAUUUAAAUUCAACAAUACUAAAAAUCUAAAUCCAAUGGUUAAUUAAAUAUUCAACCCUCGAGUAUUUAAUUAUGUUCAUCCUCAUUUGUUUAAAUCGAAUAUUAAUGAUAUGCAAUAUCUUAACAUUGCACUUACAAUAUCAAAUUUAAAAAAUGGAUAUAAUUUAUUUCGCACGUAACGCAUCAAUUAAUUUAUUGGCAGGAAAACUUUCGUAUAAAACGUACACAAUUGACAUUGUAUUUACGAAAACUAAUAGAGAGCAUGUUUUCCAAUAAAAAAUCGAUAAAUUAAAAUUAUGAAUAUUUGUGUAUUGGAUUUACUAUACCAUUUUUUUUUAAAAAAAAUACAAGAGUAUGAAUUAAAAAAAUAAAUAAAUAAUAAUAAUAAUAAACUUUUUUUUUGUCAUAAUCCUUCCUCUAUAAUCCUUCUCACUUAUUUCUUCCCCGUAUCUUUGAAAAUGCAACAAAAAAAGAAAAAAAAAAGAGGAGCAUAAUUUUUAAUGUAUUGGAUUUAUAUAUCAAAUUGAAUAACACGUUAAAGACAAAUGAAAAAAAAAAUACAAUUUAUUUGUGAACUAAAUUUACAAUACAAAUUUCAAAAACAUAUUUCACACAAAGAAAUAAUAAUAAUACAAUUUGUUUUGUGUAUUGGAUUUAAUUUUUAAAAAAAUAAGAAAAAAAACUACUGUACAAAUGAAAAAAAAGAAAAAAAAAAACUUCACUUUUGAAAUUGUAAUGAGUGUACGUUAAAGUAAUAAAAUAUUUAUACAAAAUCACCAAAAAUAAAAAUAAUACAAAUUUUUGGUGUAAUUGGAUUAGGGUACAACUUAACUGAAAUAAUGAAUUUAAAUACAAUUUUUUGUUGUAAAUGUUUUAUGAUACAAACAGACAAAAGGUUAUACAAAUGCAAAAAAUAUUAGCACAUUUUCAUUUUGUAUUGGGUUCACGAAAAAAAAAACAAGAAUUUCAUACCCAUGAAAAAAAUUAGUUUUUUUCGUACAAUUUUUUUUACACAAAUGAAAAAAAAUACAAAUUUUUUUAACAUAAUCUUUAUCCAGAGAAAUAUUAUAAAUAAUCUCUCAUAAUCCUUCCAGUUAUUCCUUCUCCCCAAACAACGAUUAGAAAUAAUCAUUUUCUUUUCAUAAUUCCCCUUUCCUUAUUCAUUUCCCCUCAUUUUCCUUUCCUUCCCCCAAACACACCCAAAAAGCUAAUAUGUUAUGGUAAUUAUUGCUAUAGGGUCAACUUUUUGUUCAUACUAUUUGAAGAUGAAUAAGGAUUGGAUUAAACUAAAAAAUAGAUUUUCAAGUGAUUAUGUUGAUGGAGUUUCUUAAUUUAUGGAAGUGGCUAAGUGUCAUGUAAAUGAUGUAGGAAAAACUAGGUGCACAUGUAAGUAUUGUCAAAAUUCAAUGACACAAACAUUGGAUGGAGUAGAGCAUCAUUUAUUUGCGAAUGGAAUAUCUUCUUUAUAUGAUAAAUGUAUUUAUCAUGGAGAAGCAAUGAACUUUGCUAGAUUUGAACAGAGUACUACUUCGUUAGAAAGUGAUAGAUUAAGUAGAGAGUCUGAUGUUGGCAACAAGGACGAUGAUAUUUUAGAUCUUUUAACUGACUUGCAAGGUUCAAUGAUAGCAAGGGAAGAAAAUUUUGAUGACGGAGAUGUAAGUUUUGAUGAUGAAUUUUCAGAAGAUGUUGAUGACAUGGACACUAGUAACAUUUUUAGGAGUUGAUGAAUGAAACACGUAAACCGUUGUAUCCUGGAUGUACCAACUUUUUCUCAUUAAAUUUUUUGGUGAAGUUAAUGCAAAUCAAGAUUCUGAAUAAUUGGAGCAACAAAUCGUUUGAUAUGCUAUUAGAAUUGUUGAAAGAUGCAUUUUCAAUCGGUACAUUUAUAACUAAAUCAUUUUACGAAGCUAAGAGAAAAUUAUGUGACUUAGGGUUAGGAUAUGAUUUCAUCCAUGCUUGCAAAAUAUGACGGUAUAUUAUUUCGAAAAGAAUUUGCUAAUUGUCAAAGUUGUCCACUAUGCAGUAAAUCUCGAUAUAAACAGAGAGUGAAAAAGGAAAGAAGAUUCCAAAUAAGGUUUUGCGUCACUUUCCACUAAUUCCAAGGAUGAAACUAUUGUUUUUUAAUCAAAAUAUAUCGCUUCUAAGAUGAGAUGGCAUAACGAUAAACAGAGGAUGUUUUACGACGAUAUCUAGCUGAUGAUGUAGAAUGGAAGCACUUCGAUAGAGAAUUUUCUCAAUUUUCCUCAAAGCCAAGAAAUGUUCGUUUAGGCUUAGCUUCACACGAUUUUAAUCCAUUUGGGAAUAUAAGUACUGCAUAUAGUAUGUGGCUAGUGGUGCUUAUACCAUACAAUUGUGGCUAGUGGUGCUUAUACCAUACAAUUUGUCCCUUGGAAGUACAUGAAGGAGUCCAAUUUUUUCAUGUCUUUGUUUGUACCUGGACCCAAAUCUCAUGGGAAAGAGAUUGAUGUAUAUUUGCAGCCCAUAAUUGAUGAGUUGAAAGAGUGGUGGAAUAAUGGUGUGCGAGCGUUUGACUGUACAUAUGAAGAGUAUUUUCCAUUAUAUGCAUGUUUGUUGUAGACCAUCAAUGAUUUUCCUGUAUAUGGUGACUUGUCGGGAUGGAGUACGAAAGAAUAUCAAGCAUUUCCUACUUGUAAAUAAGAUACGUCAUCGUUUGGGAUAAAAGGAAAAAUAUCUUUUAUGGGACACCAACGUUAUCUUUCUUCUAAUAAUAGUUGACGUCGAAGUCGACAAUAUGACAAAAAAACCCGAACGCAGGCCUCCACCAAUUGUAAUGAGGGGAGAUGAGACCUUACAACAAAUAAACUCCAUGAAUUUUCCAGUGCUAAGUAAGCAUUCAUCCAAGAUGAAUAAGAAAUGAAAACAUACUAUUAAUUGGAAUAAGAGAAGUAUAUUCUCUACACUUCCGUAUUAGUCUAAACUUCUUUUGAGACAUAAGUUGGAUGUCAUGUAUAUUGAAAGAAAUGUUUGUGACAACUUGCUUGACACUUUAUUAAAUAUUGAUGGUAAAACAAAGGACACAAUCAAUGCUCGUUUAGAUUUAGGAGACUUGAAUAUAUAAAAAGGAAUUACAUUUGCAAAGGCAAGGAACUAAGCUGAUAAAACCACAUGCUACGUCUACAUUAACCGGCACCGAAAGAAUAGACUUUAUAAGUUCUUAAAAUCAAUUAAAUUUCCUAAUGGAUUUGUCUCAAAUAUAUCACGAUGUGUGAGUGUCAAUGAUGGAAAAUUAUAGGGACUAAAGACUCAUGACUCUCACAUUUUACUCUAAUGACUUAUUCUCAUUGUUGCACGAGCAUACUUACAUAAGGGUGUGUGUACAACUAUCGUUGAGUUAUGUAAUUUUUUUCAUGAUUUGUGUGCGAAGACAAUACAUAUCAGUGACCUGAAUCGUCUGAAAGCCAAUAUUGUGAUCAUACUCUACAAAUUUGAAAGAAUUUUUUCACCUGCGUUUUUUGACGUAAUGAUACAUCUUGCAAUUCAUUUACCGGCUAAGACAAAGAUUGUUGGUCCAAUAAUCUAUAGUUAAAUGUAUCCCAUAGAAAGAAGCUUACGAACAUUAAAACAAUAUGUACGAAACAAAGCUUGUCAUGAAGGUUCCAUAGCAGAAGCAUUUCUUAUGAAUGAAUGUUUGACCUUCUACUCGAUGUAUCUAACAGGAAUAGAGACAAGAUUCAGUAGGAAUUCACGAAAUGAUGACUCAAUGAGCAGAAAACUUGGUUGUGGGGACUUUGAUGUAUUUAAAUAAAAUAUGUGACUAAUGGAGGGGUCAAUUGUGAGGACGCUAUCUGAAGAAGAGAGACGAAUGUGUCAUUGGUAUGUUCUGAACAACUGUUCUCAAAUAGAAUCGUAUCUCAGGUACAUUUUAUACAUUCAUUUACUUGUCAGUUCAUAGUGUAUAUAAGUAAGUCGAAAUUCUUUUUAAUAUUUAAUAUGAUUGAUAAGCAGAGAAAAUUUGAGUUUGAUAAAUACCAAAUGAGAGGAUGGACUAGAUUUAUUUAGAAGGCACCAAUUAAAAUUUCCUAAUUGGUUUAAUGUACAUGUAAGUGUUGUUUUUAGCUUCAAAGUAUGAUGUUUUACUAUUGAGGUAUUAGUAGUUAUUCUAACCCACAUAAUAUUAUGUAGAUGUAUUCAUUACGUGAAAAAGGUGAAGCAUCUGAUGAUCUUUACUCCAUAGUGUUGGGCCUAUUAAUCAAGUUCGCACUUACAGUGGUUGCUUUGUAAAUGGAUUACAUUUUGAUUCAAUAAAGCGUGACAAUCGCCAGACUACUCAGAAUAGUGGAAUCAUGGCAUAUGGAGAAACCAAAGCCGACAAAACGGAUUACUAUGGUCUAUUGCAAGAGGUCUUGGACUUAGAAUACCCUAAGUGUAGACGUGUAUGUCUUUUCAAAUGUAAUUGGUUUGGAACCGAUGUUAAGAAGAACAAAUUUUGUUCUAAUUUAGGCUUUAAAAUAAUUAAUACUUCUCGUUUGGGUACACUGAUGACCCAGACAUAUUAGUUACACAAGUCGUGUAGGUUUUCUACACUGACGACCCAAAACUCCGCAAUAAUUGAAAAUUUGUGCAAAAUGUCCAAAAUAAACAAGUAUGGGAUGUCCCAUAAGUUGAAAAAUUAGAAAAAGAGUUGUUAGAAGCAUCUAGUUCAAUUGGGUUUGAUAAAUCCAUACAUGAUAUCCCAUUUUGUAGAGGCGAUGUUAAACCUACUGUUUUUUAUAAUCAAGAGAUAGAUAAUCAAGAUCAAUCCCCAAUCGAUGACGACUUUAUAAAUGACGAACCUGAACAACUAGAAUCUUUGGAUUCAUAUGGUAAUGAAUAAAGGGUAUAUAUUAUAUGUUUAUCAAAUUUAUUUACGACAUGUUAUUUUAAAGUCUAACCACUAAUAAUUAUUUUUGCAGCAUAAUGGUACAUACAGAUCAAGCACAAUUGGCAUUGACUGAAGUUGAACAAACAAACACUACACCAGUUGAUCCUUCCACUCAUCAAGACGGUAUUAAUAUGAUAUGUAAGUUUAUUUCUUAUACAUUACUGAAAUGAUCUAAAAAUAGUUUUACUUUUAGGAUAUCAAUCACAAACUAAAAAGUGAGGAAAUGAUGUGAGAGGAUACGGUCCAAACAUAGAAUUGGACAAAUUUGUAGAAAAACGUGGAAAGAUCAAGAUAGAGAUUAACAAAGAGGAAGAAAAACCAAUGACGGCAUUUGCCCCUAAAAUUGGGUUAGGCAUUGGUACUGUCGUUCGAAACACUAUUCCAUUGAGUUGAGGGAAUUGGGAGGCGGUACCUAUAGGCGUAAGGAAGCUCGUGAUUGAUCGGUUGGAGGUAUGUUUAUGUUUAAUUUAUGCCUUCUUAUAUUGUUUAAAUGUAAAAGUUGUCCAUUUAUACAUAUAUUAUUAAAUAUGUAGACAAAUUUUGAAUUUGACCCAACUGACAUAAUUGUGAGAAAAUACUUAGAAAAAAAGAUGCAUAAUACUUUUAGAGAUCAAUUUAGAGCAGGUUUGAAUUGUAUGUACUUGAGUUGAAAUAUUUUGUGGCUAUCCUGCGGUGGCAACCAAUCAUACAUACAUGACAUUUUCAUAAGAACUGUCCACGUUUCUCUGUAUCGGUAAAGACGAAUAUUCUUGUAGUGUUUGUUGUUGGACAAGAUUGCAACAACCUCCUAUAUGAUAAUGGUAAAUAUAUAUACAAGAUUUUCAGGUUUGUUAUAUUUUAAAAAAUUUAUUAAAUACUACAUAAUAUAUAUUUGAAUAACAAUUUGAAAUUAAAUUUUAGAUACUCCUCAUAGAAUAAUGCCAAAUAAAAAUACAAGAUUUUCAGCUAUUUUAUAUUUUUAAACAAUUUACUAAAUAAUAUAUAAUAUAUUUUUAAUAACAAUUUGAAUUUGAAUUUUAGAAUUGUAAUUAUGUCUCAAUGGGACUUUUGCAAUUAUUUGAAUCUUCUUCUUUUAUGUUUUAUUUGAGAAAAAAAAAAAAAAAAAAAGAAGAUUGAGAGGGGGGCAACCGAUGCAAGAGACAAACACUGUGUGAGAGAGAAAUUUUUUCUUUUAAACAAGAGAGAAGAAAAGUGCGAUCGACAGAGAGAAAGACGUCGGAGUUUCGACGUUAGUGGCUAUGGGCAUCUGACGGCAUCUGACGUUGGUCAUGAGUUUGCGGCAAGUUCUGACGUUCUGGCGUUUGUUGGAGUCAGAUUUAGCCAACUUUCAUGGAUUUAGCUGCAAGCAGGAUGAUAGAAGGCUCGAGCAGUGUUUAUGGUGAGUUUCAUCGUUCAUGUUUUGUUUUUCAGCCUUGGUUCUUCUUAGGGUUUUCAGUAGGUUAUUCGACAUGUGAGUCUCCGGUCGGAGGAGCCGGCAAGAUGAAAAUUUCACAAUCUUACGUCAGAGGAGCCAACAAGAAGAAAAUCCAAGUAUGAAGAGUUUGAAGAGUUUGAAGGGGACGAGCUGGAAACUCCAAUAGUUUCUGCAACUAUGGAAGUUUGAUGUUGAUAUGUGUUAAUUGUGUGUUGGGAGUAAGAUUUUAAUUAUAGGGUAUUUGUGGUUUGUUUAAUAAUUAUAUUUAGGAUUCAAUUUUUUUUAUUUAGGUAUGGGCAUUUAAGACAUUUGUUCGUGCAAUUAUUUUCUUAUACUUUUUUAUUUUUCUAUUUUAUCAAUUUAAAUAAAGAUUUGUUGUUAGAGAAAUGUGUGAGAAUGGCAAAAUAACAUUGUGGUGUUUGGAAAAUAGCAAACAUAAAAAGUAAUUUGAUUUUUAGCAAAAUUGCAAAAGAUAUAAUUUUUUUUUGAGAAUUUUUCAACCGAUUUUAUCUCUUGAUAGGAUGACUAUCAUUUUGUUAAUUACAAUGUAUUUGUGAACCGUAAAAUAAUAAAACAUAACACAUAAUUACGAUUACGAUGCAUUUGGAUAUCAUUCAAUUUUGUAAUAAUAUUAAAUAAAUAUUUAUUUUAUCUAUUAAUCUCAUUUAACUAAAUUAUAGAUUCAUGUCUUAAAUUUAUAACAGAUUAUCCUAUUACUUAAUUGUAGGUUUUGUUGGAAGAUUAAAAUUUUAAAAUUUAAAAUAAUAUCUUUGGUUUAAAAUUAUGCAUUUUAUAUAAUAACAACUUCAUAUAAAUGGUGUAUUUUUCCUAUAAUUAUGCAUAUAGCAAUUAUACCAUAUUCGACCAUAUUAAUAAUAAUAAAUUGUUAAGCAUUAUUUUAGAGAAUAAAUGGUAACAUAACGAUAAUGCAAUCUUAUUAUAUAAUUAUCAUUAAAUUAGGAACAUUUUCUAUAGAUAUUAUUUACUACCAUUUAAAAAUUGAGUUUAAAUUCUUGCAAAUUCUCCUAAAAUCGUAUUAUUACAUUGAUCUCCCUAAAAUAAUGACAAACAUAGAUUUAACAUUUUUGGAUUAUUUAUAUUCCAAAAUAUUUAUAAAAUUACCCUAUUUAAAUUUUGUAUUUAAAUACCUCCAAAAUACAUAUUGCUCGUAACAAAUUGAAUUUAAAAUUUUAUCUUCCUCAAAAAUUGUGCUAAUUGGUUGAUUUUUAUUUUUAAAAAAUUGUUUUAUUGUGCCAAUGGUAGAAAUAAUUAUUUUCAGACGUGUUUUUAAAUUACGUUAAUAUCUAUGUUUAUUUUCAUCUAGUAAGAGUCUCAAACACACCAUAAUUGUGAUUCACAAUCUUAUAAUUUUAUAGUCAUCUAUUAUACAAACAUAUUUCAAUCAGCAGAUUUGGAAUACACAAAAAAAGAUAAAAAAAUUUGGUCAUCAAGAUGUAGUAUCAUUACCUAUACAAUUUAUUUCAAUAGGUCAAAAAAACGAGAUAUGAUAUUGAAAAUAACAUAAAUUUACUUUAUUUUGUAAAUAACAUUCAAAUUUGAUAAAUCUUAAUUAAACAUGUUAUUUUGUACAAUUUAUUAAAUAAUACAUGAUAUAGUUUUAAUAACAAUUUGAAUUUAAAUUUUAGAUCAUUCCCUAAAAUUAUAUAUAAAUCCAAUAAUUUCACUUUUUUAUAUUUUUAGCCAAUUUUACUUGUAUAGAGGAAAAUUCUUAUCUUAUUGGUAUAGUGUACUUGUGUAGGUUAAAAUGAUGAAAUAUAACUCAGAAUCACGAAUAUAUUGUAUUUGCAAAUCAUUAAGUUGUGUAAAAAUAUUAAAUAAAUAUUUAUUUUCGAAAUGAAUUUGAUUGAAUCAACAUCCCCUAGAUUUAAAGGCUGCAAUUUAUUCUAGAUUUUCUUGUUUGUUGGUUUCAAAUCAAGUAAUUAACAAUUUAUUUAGUUGUGGUUGUUCAAAUUAAAAUUGUAUCUUACCCCUAUAAUUAUGAUGCAUUUAAUGUAUAUAUGAUUAUUCUAAUAAAGUUUUGAUAUUCCUCUAUAAUCAUGAUACUUGAUUGAUUUCCUAAAAUGAUGUCAAACAUAAUUUCAAAAUUUUGGGAUUAUCUUGUUAAUAUUCUUUAUCUAUUCUCCAUAAUUGUUAUUUAAAAAUAGAUUUUAAAUUUUGAUUUGAAACCGUCAAAAUAUUAAAAUUGAUUUAAAAAUUUAUAAAAAUAGUUAUUGUUAACAAUAAUUUGAAUUUAAAAUUUUGUCAUCCCUAAAAUCAUGCUAAGAUAUCUUUAUAUCUCCAAAAUAAUAGCCAACAUAAAUUUAACAGUUAUUUAUAUUCUAUUAUAAAAAAUAAAUAUUUUAAUUUUGGAAGGAAUUAAUUGAGAAGAAAAGAUUUGUUUUAUUUAAAUUGUAAAAGAAAAAAAAAAGAAAGUGAAGAUAUUUAAGGGAAAAUAAUAAUAUAAUAAUAUUACUAUUACUAUUCAUCAUCUUCGUCACUCUCACCAAACCCUGACUGCCGCUGACACCUCCAUCUUCGUUCGCCAUCCCAUCCAUUCUGUUGAUCGAGAACUAAACCGCAAGGAAACAUCUCCUCUGUUGCACGCCACUAGUCGCAUGUUUACUUCAUCCGAAGUCAAGCGUCUUUGUGCCGCUUGUUCAUUCGCAUCGCGCGUCGCACGCUCAGCCGCGUCGAUCUCCUUUGUCUGCAUUCGUUCACUGGUUAUACCAAAACUUCCAGCCACAAAACUUCCAGUCACCGUCAAUCCCCGAAUUUUAGUGACUCUGUUGUUGUGGGGGUUUUGUGACAUACAAUGUAUCUUUUCUAAAAUUCAAGUUGAUAUAUUGUUGCUAUAAUUUAACAAACGAAGAAGAAAAUCCAUUGAAGAAGCUCACUUUUGCGCGAAACGAAAAAGAAUCUAUAAUCGGUUUGAUGAAGAAGAUGGUUGGCAAGAAGAAAUUUUUUUAAUUUGCAGUAAAUGUAUAAAGACUUUGAAGGUUUUGAAGAGGACGAAGCUUAAAGCUCUAAUAUUUUCUGCAAAUGAUCAAAGACUUUGAAGAUUUGGUAGAAUCUACGAAAGUAGAAGGUAAUGAAGUUGGAUUCUUUUCGGCUUUGAAUACCUAAACAUACACAAUUUCAACAAGGAUGUGUUAUUUAAUUACAAGGUAUUUAGGUUUUAGGUAAACAAUUCCACAAUGGACUUAGCGUUUUUGUGAUGUCAGGACGAAUCUUAAAUUAAUGGCCAAAAGUUCUUAUUCAAUCCGAACUACAAGCGAGUAUUAAAGAAAAGAAAUGAAAGCAAGGGCGAGAGAAGAAACGGAGGUGAUGGAGCAUAAAUUAAAACGAUUUUGGUCCAUACACUAAUCACAAAUUACAUUUUAAAUAUUUUUUGUUUUCUUGUUAGGUUUAUCUCUUGCUUUUCUUUUUCUCUUUUCCUUCCUUCAAUUCAAAGGAUUUUUUUCAAAAUAUUUAUAAAUAUAAAAAAAUAGUACUUUUAAUUAGCCAUCGAUGGUGAUAGGCUUAUCUAUGUGACGAUGGACCUAGAUUGCAGUCUAUCUUGAUUUAUUAUUAAUAUAAUUGUGAUAUUUUGAUAUAUUUAGAAAUUUUUUCAUUUAAAAUAUUUUUCUUGUUAUAUUUUGAGUGUGUAUAAAUAGAUUAAAAUUAAAGGGUAAAAAAGGGACAAAAGGACAAAAAGAAGGGUAAAAAAUAAAAAGAAACGUUAGGAAAAAGGGGAAAAGAAAACAUGACUAAAUAAUAAUGAGAAAAAAGAAUGGAAAGAAAAUAAUGCAUUAAAUUAUAAAUUUGGUCGAUGAGCUUUAACAUCCGUGUUUAUCUUGUCCUUAAACUACCAAACUUACAAACUUUAGUUCUCGAUCUUUUAAGUUUUAUCAAAAUUUUCAUAAUCUAUUAAAUAAAAUAAAUUAAGAAUUAAAGUUGGGAUGAAACACAAAAUCAAAAUUCAAAGACCAAAAAUUAAACACAAACCAGCUACGAGUUUAACAACUAGAUUUAUAGGAGAACCAAAACACAUAAAUUAAAAAAUAUGAAUAAUAGAUUCAUAAACUUUCAUCAUAUCCAAAACCCUAAACCUAAAAUGAGGGAACACAAACUAGACAUGACCAAAACUAUUUUUUCAGAAGUACCAAUAAUAGAUUUGAUCACAUGACCAAACUUAGAGCACAUGUUCUUUCUAAAAUAUAUCCAAAGGGUAGCCCUACCUGCGUGAUUUGUUGAAGUAUACUCUCUUGGGGACCUCAAAUAAUUAAAUUACUUUUUCCAUUGUUUUAUCUUUUGUGUGGAUUUUUUUCUAAAAAAAUUUCACGUGAAGAAAGAAGGCCUUAGCUAAGCUCCAAUAAUUCAACUUGACAUUGUACCCUAUGUAGUAAUCCAAGAUUUCAAAUAAAAUGGCACGUGAAAAGUUAGUUUUUUUUUCUUUCCCAACUUGUGAUUAUAUCAUUUUGGAACCUAUCGUUCUUAGCAUUUAGUGCUAGAUGAAGACUCAUUUGCCGUAUAUUUGAAAGGAGAGGUACGUUGACGCUCCUUGUUUCUCUCAUGUUACAAUCCUCUUUUGUUUGAAACCUAUUUUAAUUCAAUCCACAAACACAAUAAUAGAGGAUUGAUAUCAACCUUUCAUUAUGGAAGAUAGAAAUUUUGAAAUGAAUCUAGCAAAAAAACAUAGAAGUCAAGCACGAUGUUGUGGUAGAUAAUGAUAAGCCAAUGAGAGCAUAGAUGGAAAUACACCUAGGAUGGUAACCCAAUUAGUGAGUGUAGUCACCUAUUUCGAAGAUUAGUGUAUUAGAUAAAGAGUCGAGAGAUUAUCAUUUCAAUGGUAAACUCUCUCUUUAAAAACUAUUGUCACACACAAUAUUUUUUUGGUAGCCUUAAAUGAAAUCUCAUCAAUACAUCAACUACUCAUCUUGAGUUUUCACUUUCACCUUUAACUAAUUCGACAGUACAUGAAGCCAAGUAAUAAUACUUGGUCAGAACAAAAACUCAUAAAUUAUAGACGAAAGCAGGCAGGGAAGCAAUUCAAACUUGACUUUAAAGCACAUGUAACCUGUUAUAUGUAAAGUAGUAAUAGCGGCAAAAUUUUAGGGUUUUAGUGUUUUACACAAUAUAGGUUACUCUAAUACCAUGUCAAACAAUGUAAAUUUUCUAUCUUAUUUCACUUAGAAAGAGGGGAUUUCUUAAAUAUGUUUGGAGAAUAUAAUAAAAUAAAUACAAAAAAAUAUUAAAGAAAAAGGAAACAAUCAAUUAAUUCAUGAUUCAUGGUUGUUUCAAGCAUUACACAAUAAACACUUCAAAACACUAAAAUUAUUAGUAAAUACAAAGAGGUUUAUUCGAAACACGUUAAUUAAUUAAUUAACUUGAGAUUAAAAACUAAAUAGUCGACCCACACCUUUCAUGCAAUUGACAAAAAAGAAUAUUCAUCUAAUUUUUUAGUGUCUGAAUUGAUAACUUUUCUUAAAUUGAAGUUUCAUUAACAGAGAGUUCAUUCUUUAUAUAUAAAAACAUACUUAAAAUUGGUUAUAUAAAAUUUUUAUUCAACAUAUAAUAUGUAAGUGAGGAGAUGGAUUGUUUGAAUUCUCUUAUCUAAUUUUAUACUAUUUACUAACAACUAUUAGAAAGUAAAGGAAAUUUAUUUUCAAACCCCACCAUUACCUUUUAUUACCUUAAGAAAGGACAUAAACAUAUAACCCUCAAAAUUAAACCUUUCACAAAUCUUUUCAUCCUGCACACUUCACCAUGGCAAAAAAAAAGAGAAAGAUAUAAGGAAAAACAUAACAAUGAUAAGUUCACACUAACAAAUUAACUCUAAACAACAUUAAUUUUACUUCCCUACACCCUCAACUCUAAACCCUCCAAAACUAUAAUAUUCCCCAAAACACAAUAUGAAUAUAUACCACUUGGCCCAAAACCACCUCCUAGGGUUUUUUAGUGGCUUCUCAUUCUAUGGUGUUUUAGGGGUUACGUACCUUACCUUCCUGAAAUAUUCACGAGGGUUUUUUUUAUUAGGGGUUUCUCUUUCUAGGGUUUUUAGGGUAAUCGGGGAUAGUUCUUAACCAGCGCGGUACUGCCACAAGCCAAAGCCUUCGGCGGAAUCAUUCCCACCAUAUGAACUCCUUCGGCAAACACAACUCCCAUUCCCAUAUGCAAAUGAGGUUCAAUAUGGCAAUGGAACGCCCAAACACCUGGGUUAUCCGCCACAAAUCGAAUCGCCGUCCACCCAUAUGGGAAAAUCACCACUGUGUUCCUCAACGGUGGAUUUUUCAAAUUCAGUUUCUUCUCAUCCUCGGGGGCGUAAAAUUUCCCCUCUCCAUACCCCAAAACCCAAAAAUCAUGGCCAUGCAAAUGCCAAGGGUGAAUCUCACUCAUAUUGGGGUUUAACAUAUUAGCGUUUUGUAGAAUCACAUCUACCGUUUCCCCCAUAUUGAACUUGUAAACGCCGUUGCCCGUUGUCGUUUCAGGGUUCGGCGGUGGGUUGUUGAUGUCGUAGUUCAAUGGGAAUGUUUCUGGUGGUGGAUUUUGGUUGAAGGCAGUGUUUAGCCUCAUUUUCAUGGCGGCGAGGUACGGCGUUGGAGGGAGAGCUAAAGAGACAUUGUUGAUGGCCCAUUUCAUGAACCCGUUUAUUCGAUUUUGGGUGUUGAGGAGGAAGAGUCGGCGGUUGUAUCUCACCGGUGGCUUUGGACUGCCCAUGGCAGCGAAGAUUCUGAAUGUGAAGUUUUUGCUCCGAUCAAAAUCCUCCCAGUGGGGGGUUUCCGGAGGUGGAGAAAUGGGUAAUUUGGAGGCGGAGUUGGGGAGGUAAUUGAGGAGGGUUAGUCCUGGAGGGGUUUUGGGUAGCCGUGCGCGGACGCCGAUGGAUACCCAGUAAUUUUCCAAUGGGUUUUGGUCGGUGGUAAUGAGGACGGAGUAUGACUCGCCGGAAUAAAUGUCGAUGUCGGAAGUGACAAAUGGUUGAACGUAGUUGCCGUCGGCUUCUACCACUAACAGUUCGUGAUUCUGCAGAAGAAGAGGAGAAAAUAAUUAUUAAAAUUAGUUUUAAAUUCAUGGAUAAACAUUAAUGUUGAAAGUUGAAGAUAUUAUUUAGUGAAAAAUUAAAGUUUAAAAAUCUAAAAUUAAAUGGAAAUGAACAAUUUGAAACUUAUAAACUAAAAAGGAGAUUAGAAUUUUUUGUUCAUAAUUAUUCAAGUUUACUUUUGAUUAUUUUUAUUUUGAUUUUCAAUUACUAGUUUGAAGCAUGAAUAUGAAUUAUUAACAUUCUAACAUGCAAUUAUUCUAAAAAGGACAAAACAAAAAUGAAAUUUUGAUCCAUUUCUUUCACCACUGAAAAAGGCUAAGAUUUUGUUUUGUGUAAUUAUUAUGUGCAUAAUUAGAGAGAGAUGGACCUCAUUUUGUUAUACCUUUGACAAGGAAUUAAAUAAAUCUUCAUACUUAACAUACUAUAGAUUUCAUUUAAGUGUAGAAAGAUUUGUAUUUAGUACUCUACUUUUUUAUUAUUUUUCUCCCUUUCCUUUUUUGUUUAUUAUUAUUAUUAUUAUUACUUUCUUUAUAAUUUUCUUUUAAAAAACUAUUCUAUAUCACCCAACUUUUAUAAAUAUUUACUAAUAUAACAAAUUGAUAUCGAUCUAUCAUCUAACUUAGUCUAUCAUAGUCCAUUUUCCAUAAUAGAUAAAAUAUGAAUUUUGCUAUAUUUUGUAAAUAUUUUGAUUUAUUUUAUUAUCAUCUAAAUUGAAUUUUAAAAUAAUAUUUUAUUAUUUUUUUAAUAGUUUUUGUACCCUAAAUUUAAUAAUAUAUUAUAAAAUCUUGUUUAGAAUUUUGUUUCCUAAAGUAUAAAUGUAGAUCCCCACCACAGUACAUCUAGAUCUCAAACAUUUAUGUGGUAACCUUCAACUUUAACAAUUAUUCCAUAAAACAUCUUCCCCAUUAUUAAAAUAAAUGAUAAAAAAAAUGAGGCAAUAGUUUAGAUAUAAAAUCAAAAGAUGGGAUAAGAUCACAUAUUAUUUUAAUCAAAUUAUACAAAUUUAAUCAUAGUAGUUGGGAUAAUUUUAGGAGUUAGUUCCAUAGUUUAUAAAUUACAUAUAUUAUUCACAACUAUUAGCAUUUAUUUCAUCUAGAAAGAAGCAUUAAAACUAUUUAUAAUGUAAAAUCACCUUGGUACCUCAAGGGUCACAUCAAUAAAUAAGAAUAAGAUAUAGUAAAUAAUAUCACUUAUGCUUUACAAUUUCUUACAUAUUUGUUACUUCUCAAGUGGGUUUAUAUAUGUGUGUGUAUAUAUAUAUAUAACUAAAUAAAAGUAUGAUUAAAAUUCUAUAUUAAUAAAAGUACAUAUAUAGAUAUUUUAAGUUUAAGAGUAACAAUCAACUCUCAAGUAAUAUUUUUAAAACAAAGUGAAGCAUUUAAGUGUUAUAUAUAUAAUUGGAUUAGAAAAAGAAAAGAUAAAAAGUAAUAUGAAUAGGACAAGAAAGAUGGGAGCAAAACAUGUGGGAUACCUAAGAGAAGAGUUGGUCAAUGGGAAUCACAUCAUAUUAUCAAUACCAAUAUGUCCAAAAUGUCAGAAAUGUUAGAUUAGGUUAUCUAUUGUUUGUACUCUCCCAAACACUGCUACAUGUGUUUAAAAGUAAAUUUAAAUAUUAUCUCUUAAAUUGCUAUUUUUAAAUACAAUGAAAUAUUAUUAUAUUAUAAAAUUUUGUUAUAUUUAUAAAUAUUUAUGUAAAAAUUUAUAUAUUAAAGGUGGACGUGGAUUAAAAUAGAAGAGAUUUAAUGUAAAGUUUAAAUAUCAAAACGAAUAUUUUAAAGUAUAAUGUGAUAUAUUAUACUCCAGAAUUCAAACCCUAAUAUUCUUAUAGUCAAUUUUGAAAGGAGGGUAAAGUUGAUAAAAUGGCUUUUGAUUGUUUGGUAGCUAUUAUUCUCACUAGUGAAAGAGAAGUUUGUGUGUUUUGGUUAGUUUCCUCUCUCUCUCACACACACACAUAUAAUAUAUAUUUGCUUUCACUAACUACUCCCACUUUUAGGACUUUAUGAGUCAAAACCUUUGAAAUUAUUGGAAGUAAUUUUCAAACAAAAAGCAACUUUCAUACUUCUAACACCUUUUUAACAUAUGGUUUGAUAAAGCUUAAUUAUUUCUUUUGUACAAUUUGUCAUUGGAUGGAGUUACUUUAUCAUGUUUCUUUUAGAUUCAUUCGUCGUGAUUGAAAUUGAACUACUUAUUAAUUUACUCGUUGAGGCUAUUUGAGUGAUUUUUGGAUGUUUAAUUGUUUAAAUUUGAUGAUUUUCGACUGUAAUAUCGAUUUAGAAAGUUUAUUUGGUCAUUACUAAAGGUUAAAUAUCUUUGAAAACUGCUACAAUUAUUUAAAAUUGAAAGAUUAAAUCAUAGAAAAUACCUCAAAAUUGUCAUUUGUUUAAAAAAAAUUAUACCUUCAAAAGUUUAAUACAUACUAAACGUGGAUGGAAUGAAGGUGCAUCGAACUAUACACCAAAACACACAUCCAAUGCCAAAAGUGAAAAUAUUUCAAAAUUACUACGAAAUAUUUACGAAGGGUUAGAGGUAACACUUGAAGGUUUCAAUAUUACUUCUAACUUUCAUAAAUAUUUUAAAAUUUCCUUCGUGACAUGUUAAUGAUGUGACAGUGACCCGUUUUAUUACAUGAUUUCAAGUUUAAUUUUAUGUAUAAGUUAAUACAAUCACAAUAGUUUUGAAAAGACUAGAUACCUAACUUCAAUAUAAGAUAAUUUUGAGACAUUCAUGCUAACAAUUUUGUUACUAAUUUUUUAAUGUAUUUAGUCUUUAUGUUUUAAUCCUUUACCGUUCGAUAAAAAUUUCAUUAAAUAUAUUCAAUCUAAUUUAAAGAUUUUAUCGAAUCAUAAAAACUAAAUUCUACUUUUUUUACGUGAUACGACUAAAUUUGUGACUUAAACCAAAAUGAAAGAUAAAAAGAAGCAAGACUUACUCCAAUGGCAAAGUUGAGGGAAGCCAAGGCAGUGGUACUAGCAAUUCUUAUCCGAUAAGUUUUCUUGGGUUGAACAUGUAGGAUAAAUGGUGCACAUUUUUCUUUUCCACUCAACUCACAUUGCUUCAAACCUUGGUUGUAUUUGGCUGCUAUUGAACAGUCAAAUUGCCCUUUCCCAUUUAUCAAUAUGCUCUGAAAAAUAGUAAAAACACACAAAUAUACGAAGUUACAAUAUUAUUCUUGAACAAAUGUGAAGUAUAUAUAUAUAUAUGCAGAAUUUUAGAUGGAAAUUAAGACUGGAGAUGAAAUGUAUGGUGUUGGCAUGACAAAAUUUUACUUUAUCUUAUAUUCUCCCUAAAUGAAUUUUCAAAAUUUCGUAUUUUGUUUGUGUUAUAUAAAUUGAAUAUAUUUCAAACAAGGGAGGAUUGAUUUUGAAAGUGGGAGAAUAUAUAUAUUUUCUCCAAAUAUUUUUUUCUUUUGUUAGGAGCUAUGGCUUAACUUAGUACAUGUAUAUAUAUAUGUGUGUGAGAAAAGAUAUACAUGUGUUGUUUUAUCCUUGUAGUUUGAACAUGGUGUUCUUUUAAUUAGAUUAUACAUUAGAAAAUUAUUGAAAAAAUAUUACAUUAUAUUGAUAGAUGUUGAUAAAAUUCUAUCAAAUUCUAUUUGUGCAUUGAAAUUGUGAUCAAAUUUAAAAAAAUUUAUUUUUAUAAUGUAUUGGUUAAUUUUGUUUUUUAAAAAUGUUCGAUAUAUAUACUUAUCUUUUAUACCUAAACAAAGAAUAUUUUAAUUUAUUAAGCUUUCUUUUUAAACAGUGGAUUAUUAUAAGAAAAAGAAAGAAAAGAAAAGAAAUGGUCAUUGAAUUAGUUAAUAAUUUAAAUUAAGGAAAUUGAUUUAAGGGUAAGAAGGACAAAUUAUAUACCCACCAACCUCUCAAGUCUAUUCAAUCUACUAACUUUUCUUUUUCAAUUUUCAAAAUGCUUUAUUUAACAAAAAUAUAUUUUUUUUAACAAAUGAAAGCAGAUUCUUGAAAAAAAAAAUAGAAUGAAACUACUUACGAAAUAUAAAUAAUUUCGUCACCUAUUCAACGUUAUUCACAAGUUUGUAUGCAAAAAUAUAAAAUAAACAAAAUUCAGAAUAUGUACUUACUUACAAGUUUAAAUAAUCACUGACAUACAAAACCUAAAAAGUUAUGAACACUUAUUUUAUAUUUAUAACAAUUGAAGUCAAUUAUUUAUCUUGUUAUCAAACAAAUAUAAACCAAUCAUACAUUGAAAUUUUCAAGUCAAACAGUACAAGAGAUGAAGAAAAAAAUGAUCACACACACACACACUUCAAGAAGAGGAAUGGAAAAGGACAGAGGAAAAAGAAUAAUUGGUGGAAUAGUGGUUUUGGUUGUGUAAAGCAAAUUUCAGCGAUGCAUUUUUUCUCAACUUUUUCUCAUGUGUAAUAAAAUAGGAAAGAAAACAAUUAACUUUAAAAGUGGUUUGUUGAUCAUCGUCAUUUAAACAAUAAUAUCCAAAUCUCAACUUUACAUAAUGAAUAACACUUCUUGAUUUUGAAAAAAAAAAAACAAUUAAUUUUUACGCUUAAUUAUGUUAAAAACUUUGUGUUGAAAAUGUGUUUUAAAGUUAUAAAUAUGUUUAAUUAUGUGUUAAAAGUACAUCUUUAAUUUAAAGUUCUACUCGUUACAUCAAUCUCCAUCUUUUUUAAAUUAGUAAGUAGGGAUCUUUUUGAAAUACAAAAGAACAAAAAUUAAACUUUUCUAACCAGUUAGUGAAAAGAAAUUAAACUUUUCAAAAUUAGAGGCAUGUUUCAAAAGCUAAUGAGUCUUCUUUUUUUUUCCUAAUUUAACUAAAUACUAAUAAAUGAUUGUCAAUUCAUAGUUGAUAAAGUAGAGAUGGACCAAUUGACACUACUUUAUUCAUACAUAUUGUCAAAAAGAACUAAAAAAAGAAUACUUAGUUGGUAAAGCACUAAUUACCUGAGGCUCACCAAUCCAACGCAUUGGUUUGGAGCUGAGACCAACUUCUUGCUUGUGAACACUCUGAUGCCACCAAUCACUAAGCAAUAAGUUGAUCUCUUCGUCAUAAUGGAAUGGCUCAGAUCUUCCUUCUGGUGGAUCCACUAUCAAAGAUCCAUACAACCCAGCCGAUCUUUGCAUCCCUAAAUGGCCAUGAUAGAAAUAUGUCCCAGCCUACAGUAAAAUAUGAAUAAAUAUUAUAAAACAACUUGCAAUAUUUCCUAUGGACUCAAUACGUUUUAAACCCUUCUUACCUUAUCUACCACAAACCGGUAAGUGAAGGUCUCACCCGGGUUAAUGGCACACUGCGAGAUGGAAGCAGUGCCAUCAGCCCAAGGAGUACCUCGUUGUAGGAUUCCAUGCCAAUGAAUAACAACACCUUCAGUGUGGAGCUUGUUAGUUAGCUCCACAACGACGAUGUCGCCAGCGUUGGCUCUAAUCGUCGGUCCAGGGAACUCGCCGUUGAUUCCCAUAACAAUGUUUUCAACACAAUCUGGCGACCAAAACAUGUACUCAACAUCCCAUUUGUAGUGUUUUAUUUUGGGAAAACCUGCCUCAGAGAGAGUUAUUCCAAAUCCAAAAAUGAUUGACAAAACAAGGAAGGAUAGAAAAGGCUUGGGGAAGAAAGGCUUAUCUGCAACUUUUGCCAUUUCGAAGGGUUGAGGAGAUGAAAGGGAAGAAUAAUGAUGCAAUGAGGAAAAAGGAAGAAAGGAAAAAAGUGGGAAGUUUGUGUGUAAGAUGCCACUAGAGUUUGCAAUUUGCCUCCUUUUUAUAAUGAAAUUUUGAGAUAUUUUGUUUACCCACUCCCUCUCUUUCGUUAAGUCAAGUGGUUGAUUUUAAUUCUAAUUUUCAUUUUUAUUUUCAUUUGUUGUGUGUGUGUAUAAUAUAUAUAUAUAUAAAUAUAUAUAAUUAAUUUGUGUGUUUAUACUUUUUUCUUUAAAAAAUUACUACAAAAGAAAUGGAAACUGUCUCUCAAUCAAUCUCAGACCUAUAUGAAAUGAGAGACAUCUAUGGAAAGAGAUUAAAUUCAAAUGUAGGACCCUAUAAAUGUUGAUCUAUAAUAAUUAAAUUAUAUAUAUAUAUAUAUUAGGUUUGCUAUAUAUAUACACACACUAUGAAAGAUUCCAUUUAUCUUUUAGGUUGUUUGUUUUUUGGAUCUAGAUAAUAAUCAAAGAGCUAGUUGUUUCAAUGUUUGGAUGUAUUUAUUUGACUAAGUUAUAAAGUAAUGCUUGAAAAUAUCAAUAUUAUUAGUUAUGUUUGCUUUGUAAAAUUUGUGUGCAAGAAAUAUGUGUGUUGAGAAUUAUGUUAUAUACCAAGAUUGUUCAAACAAAUUUUAGGCAACUUAAAUUAACAAUAGUUCGAUACAUUGUUAUGGAUACUUUUUGGGUUAAAGUAUAAAAUCGAUAUGAUGAUAAAUAAGAGAAAGUCAUCGGGUGAUCAAGAAAGCAACAAUAAAUAGGGGCUCGCUAUCCGGCCAAGAUAAUAAAAUUGGCUUAAAGAAAAGAACUAAUUUGUCCCGAUUGGUUUGCUUCGACCAAGGCUGAACCUACACAAAACAUAUAUCGUUACAUCCCAUGCAUGAUGUGAGCUCACACACGAGCCUUAAGAAGAGGAUUGACUUGACCUAAAACCACUUCGAUCGACUCUACUUUGUCCUUUGUGAAGGCUUAACUCACUAAGUCAAACCUAUUUUAAUGUUCUAGAACAAAUUAAAAGAGAAUAUUUAGAAGCUUAGGAAAACACUCUUCCUAAUUAAGGAGAGGAGAAUCCAAUCACCCGCUUUAUAAAUAAGAUGGUAAAAAGACAUAAAAUGUUAGUCGUUCUCUCUCCAGUAACAUCAUACUAUAAUAAAAUCUUUAGAUCAUUUUCCUUGUUUUAAGUAACAAAGUGUGUGACGCCCUAUAUCAUACCAGUGUGUCGUUCUUGCUAAUUAACUCGUAGUUGAUCUUCUUCACCAAAAUAUAUAUUUAUCAUAGUUAUCGCUUUGAGGUCAGAUCAUUUUACCUGCUCAAAUUUUAGAAAAUUAUUUAAAUUCAUUUAACAUGUUUUCUUCGUGGUAAAUUUAUUUAUUCAAUAUUUUAAUAUUUUAAUUUUAUAUCAAUUAGGUAUACACUAACUUUAUUGGUUGUUAAAUUUUAUUUAUUCAACUUUACUUGAUGGUGAUGGUUUUGUAGGCCUUCGGGCAUUUUGGUUCUUUAAUCAAUGAAGUUCUUUUGAAUAUACAAUAUAUGUAUGUUGUAUAUAUAUGAUUUAUUAAAUUGUAAUCAUUUUCAAGAAAAGACAAUUAAUAUUUAAUUAUGAUAGUUUUAAUAGAUCACGUUUAUUUGAUUGCAAGAUUAUAAUUUUUUGUGUGAUUUUUUAGUACAAAACAUUGACUUACUCAAUUAUCCAUCUCUGAGUCGGUAACUAAUCUAUUUUUAUCUCAAUUGAACUAUAUUGAGUUGAAUAUAUAUAUUUAAUAAUUUAAAUUUUAAAAGUAAAAGUGGAUAAUUAUAUCAAAUAAGAAUAUGAACAGUUGGACACUUAUGAAAUCUAGUACGUUCAUGUUUACAAACUCACUUCAAUUCUUUGAAGAAAAAAAACAAAAUACAUGUUUAAUAUGUUAAGGCUAAACUAUGAGUUUUGAUCCCUAUAAUUUGAAUAAUAAGGUUAAAGUUUUAGUUCAUAAAAUCAAGAGUAAUUUAUUAUCAUCUAACAUAUUGAGGGGAUAACCACGACUACUUUACUAUGUUGAAAUUAUUAAAAUGUUCCCAAUUUCUAAAUUAUGUUAUUAAAUACACAUUGGAAACAUUUCAUUCAAAUUUUUUUAUUUAAAUUUUGUGUUUUCAAAUUUCUAUUUUCAAACUGUCUUUAACCUACAUAUUCAUUUAAUAGAUAUUUUAGAUUUUUUCCAAACAAACAACUUCUUUAUUUAUAUGCUUUGUUCUGUGUUUGUGUUUGCAAGUUAAGUUAACGAUUUGUUGUAUUUAACAACAUUCAAUGAGUCAAAAACUAUAUCUAACUUAAUUAACGAAAAGUAUAUAUCACUUCGAUAAAAAAGUGAAAUUUCAUAUCCUUUUCUUUUCAAAAAUCAAGCAGGGUAGGUCAUAUCAACACGCAUUUUUUUAAAAUAUUGUUGUUUCAAAAAGAAAAUAGUAAAAUAUGGUUGUUGGUAAGAUAUACUUUAUAAAAGGAAUAAAAUAACUGAAAUUAUGAACUAAAACAAAUGUAAGGAUUGGAGUGGGGAAAUGGUGAUGUUAUAUAAAAUAUAGACAAGUUGAGACAAAAGUAAGGAUAAGAAAAAGUGCAUCAAACUUUUUAAUUUUCAAAAAUCAUUCUAUUUUUCUUUUUAUAAUAUAUAUAUAUAUUAUAAAGUUCUAAUAUUUAAUAAGGUAAAUCCAUGUAUAUAAUCUUGCUAUUUAUUUUUAAACUCUCUAACCACCCAUUAUCGAUUGAUGGAUAUAAAAUUUUGAAUAUACAAGAAUUGAAAUAUUUAAAAUCCUAAAAAUGUUCAUUUUUGAAAAUUGGUGAAAUAUAAAAAGUAAAUGUUUGUGUUUAUUUUAUUAGUUUUUGUUUACAAUAAUUCUUCUAAAUUAAAGGUAAUUGUUUUUAUUAUAAGAUUGAUCAAAGUUAUGUUUAUAAAUAUAGGAAUAUUUUCAUUAGCUCUCUUAUC